UACUGAUUCCACGCGUGUCACAGAUUUCCGGCUCAAAUCGGGUUUGCAGCCUCGGUAUAUAUCCUUCGGAUCAAGAAAAGAAAACCCUUUUGGGCAUUCGCAGGUUGGCCUUUUAUCUGGUUUGAGCAUACAGGUACUGUUGUAACCGCAAACACCAACGCCCAGUCGUAGGCAAAUAUCAUCCGGCAUAUACACCAGAGGACUAAUCCAACUUGCAUUUCCCGUGAAGUUUUUCUGGUGAGAAUAUAAAGCGAAAAUCCCAUCAAAAUCAAGAGUUGCCCUUAUGUAGUUGUCCCUCACCGACACUCCCUCUGUCCCCUUAAGAGGGACUCUUCCAUCAUUUUCUCUUAGAACAAACAUGUCCCCUGAGCUGCUGAACACCAAUCGUUUGCCUUGACUACCUGGCACGUUCCCUGACGUGGUCUUCGUGGAGAAGUAAGGGAUGUUGGCAUUAUCUGUUGUGACGGAAAUGAGCACGAGGUUUCCAUCACCUUGCAAGCUCAGCCGGAACCGCCCUUUUGUGUAGUUAGUCUCCGAUUGUCUACACGAAAGCGUCCCGUUUCUCUCAAUUGUCUGUCCAGGCAAAACGGUGUCUGUAGGAUUGCUGAAGGUCUCCCACAAGCUCCCCGAGUUUUGGUGUUGAAGGACGAAGUUUCCGGUGUCAUUCAUGACCCCGUUCGCAACAGUCCCCAAGGUUAUUUCGGAUUUCCAUAUCUCUCCACCCUGAGGAUUGUUAAGAACUAGUCCACUGUUGGCAGUCAAGUUCAGAACUGAUCCCCUAGGUGCAACCAUGGGGUUGUUACCGUCAUAUGCAUACCAAAACUACGGUUUUGUCUGGGAUUUUCGCAUACCAUAUCGAAAGCAAGAAACGAUCAUUGUUUCCGAGGGGCGAAAAUCCAAACGCGAAAUCACCGGAAGGAGAAAGCCAUGAUGAGGAGUCGCCUGUAGUUGCAGUUAGAGAACUCCCAACUGCUACUCUUCCAUUAUUUUGGGAAAUCACAGAAAUUGGUAGCAAAAACAAAGAGGAGAACAAAAGCAUCUCUACAGAAAGAGCCACUGCCAUUGCAAAAGCACCAAUUUUUCAACUUGGCUUGAUUGAUUAGCUAUAUUUCUUAGUAAAGCAUUGGUCCUUGUUAUAUCUUUAAGUAAAUGCGUGUGCACCAUGUGCCUGUCAUUUUCUAAGUUUUUGCCUGGAAUUAAAGGCGUCUACACCAUUUUUUGAAGUCACACACAACAAUAUCUCCGGGCCUACAGAAUAAAUUCUCCGAACCUACACAUAUCACAAGAAUUUCACUUUGAAAAAAAAAAUAUAAUGAAUAGUUCUAUAUAUAAUGACACCGAGACUUUUUGUGAUUGAAUUUAUUCUCUCUCAACUCCUUUGUAAUGUUGCAAGUUGGAGCAAUAUUGACGUAAUUAGCAAUGGUCCGCUGACUUGUCUCUCUCAAAUCUCUUAUCAUCCUACUCUCAUCCCUCGUCUGUUUUAUGAUUCUACUUACUUAAGCACUUAUAAAUGUUCCAAAUCAGCAAAGGACUUGUAACUUAAAUAAUUAAUAAUAUUUAUCACUACACUCGAGAUUCUAGGUUCCAAAAUAUAAUAUAUAAUAUAUAUGAAUGUUUCCGAACCAAAAGGACAAGUAAAUACGAGCAUGACUCACGCUGCAUGGGUCGGCCAUUCAAGUCCACCAGUCAAAAUUCAACAAUGGGGCCCACAAAGAAAAUUUGAAAAAGUACAUGCAGAUUGGGGACGGAUACAAAGAAAAUCUGAAAACAGACCUCCAGAACCAAACAAAGACGACUAAGCCUUUAAGUCAAGUGACAAGAGACUUAUAUCUUCACAAAAACAAAGACGACUAAGUCUCAAUUUCUGUAUUCACAAAAAAAAAAGUACUAACUGAAGUUUUUAAUGUAUGAUUACGUCGUUGGGGUAAAACACCCGAUGCCGAGUUGAGAUAAUCACAGGGUUGGGGAAUCAAGAACCUCUUCGAAUGUCACAAUCUAGCGCAAACGGAUGUAGAGACUCAAACCACUUAUUUUAAAUCAUACGGCCUUCAUUAGCCUAUCCUAUUGACCCACAUGGUCCAAAUCUGUCUCUCCCCUCUCUUGAACGGUUUGGAUAUCUCGAUUUGUCGAUUUUGGAUUGCGAGAUUCAAAGAGAAUCUGAUUUCAUGUUUGAGGUGAGGUUUGACGACCAUUUGAAGCCCGUUGAGGCGUGGCCCAUCUCAUCAGGUCGGGUCAGCCAUUUCGUACCAGGUUGGAUCCCAGGUCAGGCCAACCAUUUCAUUAGCCUAAGAUGGACCUGACAGACGAGGCGCUUGGAUAUUGCCUACCGCGACCAAAUGGACCCAUGGACUCAUUAGAUGAUGAGUCUGGACCCUGGUGUGUGUAAAGCCCACCUCAGCUCGAUCCAUAUUCGAUCGAUACUACAAAGAAGGUGGAUAUGAGGUAAAGGUAGAGUAAGCUCCAAGUCAUGUGGAGGUCAGUCGAGAUUGAACACACGUUCAUAGAAUCAUAGUAUCAAAUUCAAGUCCAAAUUUUAACACUACGAAACCGAAAAGCAUUGUUUCAGUCCAACAACCCAAACUUCCUUAAAAAAACUAAGACAAAAACGACGACACUAGGAAACGGAAAAACAUGCAACUCAGAAAACCAUUACUCUAGUCCAAAUGAGGUUCCUCAAUGCCUCAAGCUUUUAUAAAACACCAUAGCCUGAACCUUUUCCUUUGCGCCUUCUUUGCUUCACCAGAAACGUUCUUAAUGAGCUCCUCUUCAAAUUUGGGACGAGCAGGCAUUAGGCUGUGCACAAUGCUGUAAACGCCCCUAGCCCUUGCCACACCCUAGGUGCGUACGCGUGCAUGUCCGACCUGAGUUAUCUUAUUACGCGCGCAGUUUGAUCUUCCCGUAUUGACAUCCCUGCUGUCUAUUCUCCUGCGAAUCCUUCUGCUGGUGACUUCAUCCGAGUCCAUUUUCUUGCUCCUCAGUGCAUGUUCAUCUGCUUUUCCCUGUUAAUAAAUAUAGGAAUCCCAUAACAAACAGCAUUUGACAAAACAGAACGUAAUAAUAACAACAAAACUUGACUCCAUCCUCAGUGCAUGUUCAUCUGCUUUUCCACUUCAAAGCAGCUGACGGCACGAUUCGUACUUGGACUCCAAAAUGUCUAGAUUAUGGAGAAACCAGCCUUCUAUCCAAAACACACAAAGAAGUGUAUUUUCCGUUUAUACCAAUUAAGUGUGUUGAAGCAUGUCCCACAUGGCCACAUAGGAAACUUGUUGAGGUUUAAAUCCUCUUAUAUAGAAAGUUCGACUACUAAUUGCCUUGAGGCCUUAAUUCUGUAUAAAACCAUACCUAUUGAAUUGCACACGUGCUUAAGUUAAGGUCAGUAUUGAUGGUAAUUAGUAGUGGGCUGCUGGGCCGUCUUAAAAAAACUGGUACAAAGGGCAAUUUAUAGAAGCAGUGUUGAGAUAAGGGCAAUUCAUCUGUUCUUUUUAGAAGGAUAUAUAUGAAUGAAGCAAGGUUUAUCUGCUAAUGCGGCUCAGCCCUUUAUCAAAAAGUGAAAGAUCAAAAUUACUUUUACAGCAAGAGCAAUACCAGAAGAUGUAAUCUAAAUUAUUUAUAUUUGGUUCCCUUGAAAUCCUUUUGACUGCUUCAACAUACUAUAUGCAGACAGAACCAGAACCAAGUCCAGACUCACUCGUAAUAGGUCUCCUCAUCCACAACAAUAUCCCAGCUUUCCCUUGUCGUGGUUUUCCCAUAUUUGUGCACCUUACUGCAAAGAGAGAGCAAGUUAACUUGUCAAAGAAAAACCAGAACAAUAGAUGCCAAUGCAGUUCAAAAAGUUUAUUUCCCUUCAUACCCAUUUCCGAAGUGCUCUUCUCCCCAUGUCCUUGACCAACCUAGACAUGAGAGAACAAAAACAGAGUUACAUCAGAUUAAAUUAUUGAAAGAAAAAGGUUCACUUCUGUUGUAACAAAUCGACAUUAGAAUCAAGCAACCACGCUAUGAAAUACAAAUUUAAAAUGUAACAAUUUACUGUGUCUAAAAGGAAUCUUGAAAUAAAAUAGUUAAACCCUAAACAGCACCACUGCAAAUAGCAUAAGAAAAUUAAAAUUAACCCUAAAGAAAUUGGGAGAGAAGAAUAUGAAAAGGGAAUACCUUUCGGCCCCUUUGAGUUAUUGGAAAAAACCCAACAGAGCAAAAGAUAAACAAAAAUACAGGCGGAAAGAAAAUAAAUUUUCAACUUGUAAGAUUCAUACGCGAACAGAUUGGUGGUCAAAAGCAUUUCGGAAUUCAGAGCCAUCAAGCUUUUUGAUCUGCAUGGAAAUUAUUUAUGAAGUUUGAGAUUCUUAUAGACGCUUUAGACACAUCGACAUAUUGAGAAAGCAAUAUUCAACAACCUAGUACCCAUGCUCCAUAGAAGGUUGAGAAAAUAUGAAUGUCUGGACUCUGGAGUGAGAAAGUAAAAGGACUUACCGCAUACUUCAUAUCUUCUAACUUUGUGUAGUCUACAAUCCCUGUUGUGCCUACAAAAAAGGCAUAGGACAAAAGCUAAAUCAAUCGAAAUUCUGAUGUCAUGAUCUAGGUCUUAGGAUUAAACUAUUGAAAUAACACUAUAUGAAAUAGCAGUGUAUAUCCCAAAAAAAGUAUGAAAUCUGGUUGAUAAUUGCAGAGUUCGAAGGGAUUUACCUUUGGAUUCUUCGGCUUUCAGAUGGAGUUUGCUUAUGUAUGGGAGAGAGAGGUGGAGCGGCUAGGGUUUGAGUAUGGAAGAGAUGAAAAAUGGAGAGAACACCUGUUUUGGCUGCAGCAACUCACACACUCCGGACAAAUCUGCAAAUGUCUAAAGGGGGGAAAAUAUAAAAAGAAACCUUAACAACUGAAUUCAAAGAAACAUUAUUACAUUGUAAAUAGCAUUUCACAAAAAAAAUAAAAUAAAAUAAAAUAUACUAAACUAAACUAAUUACACUCGGAUUGCAAUGCUAUCAUUUAAUAAUAGGAAUUCCCAUAACUUAGCAGAAGAUCCUGCAUCUGCAAAGGAUCCUUUAAAACCUAUUUUUUUUAACAACCCCACACCUGCAACACAUCCAGUCAAGGUAAACCAAUAGCACCCUCAUGCAGAGCUCUUCUGUGCAUAUAUACCCCUUAUAAGUAAUCUUAAUCAAUCAGUUAUCAUGAAUAUACAACUUAUAUUAAUUUUCUACAAUAUCCAACACACAAAUAUAACAGAAGAGGAAACUUUUACUUAAGCAGCACAAAAUGAUAUCCUCUGCAUUUCAUUCCAAAAUCCAUCACUCUUAUGUCUUUGCCUGCACAGUUUUUGCUCCAACAUAGCCUGCAAUGAUGAUAUAGCACUAUCAAUAAUUAAGACAUAAAGAAAGGCUAUCCUAGCUAGGUAUUAUGAUUGGAGUAAACCAACAACACCAUAAGUAAAGUAGCAGACCAAAUUUUUUUUAGAAUUGAUGUCUUAACAUGUUUAAGUAGCAAAAAGAUUACAACACAUUGGAUGUGUUAACACGUCCAUAAGCUGAUGACUCCCUCUCCGGUUUACCACAUCAUUCUUAAUGUACUCAACAAUGCAGCAGCAAUUAAAAGUCCUUGGAAAAUGCCAAGCUACUACAAUGACAUAACGAAAACUAUAUCUCACCUUACACCCUUGUUGGCAUAGACAACAUAUCCGUCCUUGUUCGGGGUGAAUCAUAAUCCUGAAUUCAAUUAUCAUCAUCGUCGAGAAUGUCAAACUGUAAAUCAACCAUGCAUGGAACAAAACUUAGAAAUUAAACAAUUAUCAAAGCUUAUGAAGAAUGCUAAACCCAACUAAUUCGAAACAUAAAGUAACCCGAAAGAGAGAAAACUUAUAAAUUUUACAUAAAUUAUAAUCCUUAACAGAAGGAUGGAACAAAACAGGUUCAUUCUUAAGAAUAGAUGUAACUAGUAAUAGGCCUGCGCGCUGCUGCGGGACUUGAAUGCACCAGCCUUAACAACAUGAAUAAGACACAUUUAACAUGAAAAAAAUUCAACAUAAUCAUGAACGAACAAAAAGGAUAGCUGAGUGAACAGUGUUCGUAAGUAAAACAGCUUAGUUUUUAUAUACAUUCAACCAAGCUGAUUACAAAAGAUGUGAUUGUAAAAAAUGUUCUGCUUACCUGAGAAACAAAAGCAACAUGCAUUUUACACAUACAAGACAUCUGAUAUUAAACCUAAAAUCAUGUAAUUCUGUAUGAAGUGGAGAAUAAUGCAGAAAGAUGGUUUUCUAUAGUGCUGCCAAUGACAAUUAAUUUCUCAUGAAAAAAAAGAAAAGAGAAACACAGGUAUAAAAGAAUAUUAUUUUUUAUAGUUGCAAACAUUAUGAAUUCCAAAAAGAAAAACUACAGAUAACACUUCAAUCACAGAUCUAAGCAUCUAAAACGUGGCAACCCAGAUACCAUUCAAGACAUUGCUCAGCAUCAUGGAUAAACUAACCUAUCUGUGUCCCUGUGCUCACUGCAUGUCAUAUACACCCGACCAACUGGGCAUAGGAGCAUAAUGAGGAAAACUUUCAGCACCAUUUUGUACCUGAAAAAUGAGGGAGGAACUAAUUAAAGCGUUCCUCACUUAGAAUAAAUAAUGCAUGCAUAAUAGCCAAAUGGACAUUGCGCAUAUAAAUUGUUGUGGCAAUAACUUGCAAUAGAAAACGUAGUUAAAAAUAAGAUAUACGAAAUACCAACAUUGCAAUGGUAUUUUUUUUUUCCAUUCGAUUGUACUGAAGCAUGCAUCUUAAAUUAGGUACUACGUGAGGUCUCUAUAAUGAAAUGGGAGAUUGAAUACACUUGACGAAACUGAAAAUUCAAAUAUGCACACGCUCCAUAGUGUAUCUUCACAACCAAAAGAAACGUUUAUAUAUACGACAUAUGUUUGACAUUGUUUUUCCCCACUCAAAUCGUCUUGAGAAAAUUUGACUACUAAAAACUACAAAACUUUGAUUAAAGAAUCAAAUAGAAUAGCAUGAGAAAGUUAUUAUUACACCAUACCUGACUUUUUUGCAUAUAAAAACACCUGUAUUUCACCUGAUUUUGUAAUGAAAUACAGAUGCUUGUAGUUCACCAGUACAUAGCUGCCUGUCAUUUGUUGUCUUCUUCGGGUUCAAGAUCCUUAUAUUGUCUGAGACGUGAAAGAAUCAGAAAUUGUAUACAGUUUGAUAAUGAAACAUGUAAUGUGAUUAUGUGACAACAAUGCACUCCUCUCUCUCAGAGAGAUAAACAAAGAUAUCAAAAACAGAGAGGCAAUGUUAAGAUAAACAGAAAGGCAAUGUCACAUUGUUUUGCAUGAUCUUGAAAAUUGGGGAUAAGGUAUUCAAAGUGCUAACAAACACGUGCAAAUGGGGAUAAAAAAGGGGAUAAAUUGAAAAAUAUAUAUGCUCUUAAUCGAGAACUUCAUCAAAUAAACAAUAAAAUCUAAUGUAAUCUGUCCAAAACCAAAGAGAGUGAUAAUUUGGAGGCACUAUAAUGUCUUGGGCAUCGCAUACUUGCGGUAUAUGAUUGAUGCAUCUGUUGCUCAAUCAAAUCAUUUGCUUGGCUAAAAAAGUUAUUUUUACAAUAAAUAGAUUCGCAUCCAAUUUAUGAGAAAUCAUGCAAAAGUAAAUGUAAAUGAUAACGGAAUCAUGAAUGCGAAUAAGAAACACAUACAUGCCAAAAAGAAAACCUACUAUAGUGUGUCAAGUUACUUGCAACAUAAUUUUUUAUGCCAUUAUCCAUUUCGCAAUACUUUAAAAAAAUUUCGUUUGAAAAAGCUUUGCUAUGAUUUUUAGGUUUGGGAAAAAUAAUACCAUAAAAAUUAAAAAACAAUUACUAAAAAUCAUGGCCUGUUAAUAGCAAAAUACACUCCUCAACAAUGUAUAUGAACAUGUGAGUUGAAAAUUUGAAAUAUUCAACAACUAAAAGAAAGAAGCAAAAUCAGAAGAAAAGAAAGAGAUACUCACUCAAAAAUAAAGAUGUAAUAAUGCCAGGCUUCUUCUCCUCGGCAUCCAGAAUUCCAUUGUUGUCUCCAUCUUCAACCUUCAAUGUAUUUAAAAUAUGAAAUGGAAAAAACCCAGAAGAAAUCAUUACAUAAAAUAAAAUUAUCCAAGUAAAAUUAAAGGAUGGAUAGAAAAGAAAUGAAGGCAGUUUAUUCGGACUUAAUUAGAGACUUACUGAAUAAGCUUGAAAUCUAUCUCACACAUCUCUUAAACUUCAACCCCUAUCCUCCUUGCCUCUGUAAUAUGCACACAUAUAGAAAAAGAAAUCGACUUUAGAACCUACAUUGAUACAUAUCUUGUGUGAGUAGGUCUUUCCUGCUUUUCCCCAAUCAUGCAUAUCAAAGAAACGAAAAAGAAGGAAAUCACCCAUAUAUAUAAUACCUUAAGUUUAAAUGCAUCCCAAUUUUGGGUUCCAACGUCACAGAAAGAAUGUCUUAUACAUAAUUUAACAGUACCCCCGACAUCGGUCCAUCCAUUCGUAUUAAUAGUUAUUGUCUGCACAAACCUCAAUUACCUUACAAUCUAUCAUUAUUGACAUAAAGUUCAUACAAUAUGGGACAUCAUGACCUCUCUUUGGCCAGCACCAGUUUUUCCAAAAUGAAAUCAACUAUUACUGCAUUAAUUAUGGGUCCAUCUGGCCAAUUCAUUGAAUUCGCAGACCCAAAAAUUUCACCAAUUAACUGAAUUUACAUACAAAUGGGAGAAGUACAAAAACAAAGACAAUGGCAUAAAUUAUACCAUAAAAAUUACACUACGAAAAAUUUAGAGACCAAAAUCCUUGUUAACAGAAUUUAUUCACAUUAAAAGACACAAUUUCGGUUCAAAAAACUAUCAAAUUUAAACUUUGAUAUCAUAUGAUAAAAUCUUAAUUAAACUCACAAUCUCAAGAAGUUGAAACCAUGUUAAGUAAAAGAAACAAAUUGAAAAAAAUUAAGAUGUAAAUAUUGAUAAGAACAACAAAAGUGGCAAAUACAUUAUACACAGAUAGGACCCUGAAAUAUCGGAACCAGCAGCAACAAAUAGAAUUAAGAAGAAAAAGGAUUAGCAGACUUAAUAAAUGAGAAAUAGGAUAACAGGUACGAACUCAGUUUUUCCACUAUGAAUAAGAGAUCCAGUGGCAUAACCUAACAUUAGGUAGAAUCAAUGCUGGUUGAUUGAAUUUUCAUUCCCUGAAAAUUCAGAAAAUGAUGUGUUUUGAUCUGCAGAUAGAAGCAUUCUAUAUAUAUAAAAAAAAAAUAUAUGGAGACAUGAUGAGGUUCAGAAACCAAACCAUGUCGGUAAAAUCCUCUUGGCAGGUUGCUCAAGGUUGACCUCCUAGCCCUUGGACCAGUCAGGAGACUUGGCCUCCUGCUUUCAAGUUUGGAAGGGAAGUAAAAGGUUCAGCCAAUAAGUAAAAGAAUUGAUUCAGAGGAUAGAAUCAAAAUUUCAAAAAUAUUAUUUGAUGCGAUUAAAACUGUUCCCAAUGAUAAAAUGAAUAAAAAAAUCCAUUGGAAUAAAAGAAAAAGAAUGAUUAAAAUUAUUCACAACCCUUGCUGUUUUUACCUAACCAUUUGUAGGAUCCAUAAAGGGCCAAAAAAAGUUUUUUACUUCUCCUCUAGUCCCAUAAAUUUGGAUUCCAUCUCGUCCAAGCAAACUAACAAUCAUUACUAUACUUUGUUUUAGCAUGCGAACACAAAUCUCAAAAAAAAUAGAUAAUUCAUUUACAAAUUUAAAUUCAAUUUUUAUAUCUCGAUAUUUGUUUGUUAAACUCAAUGAUCAAACUUCAGACUCAUGCCUUCCAAAAAGAAAAGAAAACGAAGAAGAAUUGAAAGCACUUCCCAUUCCAAGGAAAGAGCAGCCAUAAUUAGGAUCCAAAACUCAUUCUUUAGUCUCCUCAUCUGAAGCUAUAUAUAAUCAUUGAACAAAAACGUUUAACGUCCAGCAGAAAGCAAACUGCAAUCAAAAUUUCAAAAAAGCAAAAUAAUGCGCAGAUAAUCGACAGCUGCAACAAACAAAAAAUAGAAAAAUCAAAUGCAGAUUGAAGGAAAAAUCGAGACCGCAAUCGAAACUCAUGCUUGUAUGGGUAAUUAAUUGUAGAUACCAAAUCAUCAAAAACCACUUGUCUACACCAAAUUGCAUACAAAAGAUAUUGGGGCAACUCAGAUUGUGCAAUGAAAAACAAAGUCAAACUACGACGUAGAUGUCUAUCGGAAUUUCAUUCAAAGAAUGAUUAAAUAAAGACAAUGGCAUGCCAAAGAUUAAAUACCCUAAGCGACAGUGUCAGCCAUGAGCUUCCCUCUGUGAGAGCACAGGGGUGUAACUGCAAAAGAAAGCCGGAGACUGAGGGCAAACUGUAAUUUCGUCAAAAAGGAGGAAGUGUACAAAAGAGAAGUGACAGCAAUAAGCGUAGACGCCAAGGACAAAGUAAAUAUGUAUUUGUGAAUGGGGUUAAGCUGCUGCUAGCUUUGUAUAGUGUAAUAAUGCAAUUGCAAAUAGACCAAGUUACUGCUACUAAAAGCUUUUGCAAAAUCAUAAAACUCUUAACAGUUUGAACCCUACCGAAAAGUUUAUAUGAGUUAAAGAACAGUCGUACUUAAGUGCAGCAAGAUCAUAAGCUCUUGCAGCUUCUCCUCCAUAUCAGAACCACCUGCAGUCCAAAUUAACCAAGAUUCAAGGCCAAAGCAAGAACAAAUUAGUGAUAAUUUAAACUAAAGUCCCUAAUUAUUGUUGCAGAGAGAAUUCAUAUCAAGAUUAACGACAUUAUUUGAUUCGAAUGGAAUCCAAACGCAGCAUAAACAUGAAAGGUAAAAAAUUAAUACCAAAAGUCACAUUUAAGCAGCAAUUAAUAGCAUAAAUCAGAUUUUAGUGGCAUGGACCAAAAUAAUUCAGUAAAAAAGAAACAAUCCCAAACAAAUAGAAAGAACUGGAGAAACAAUUCGAAACAAAUCUUCGGAAAGCAACCCCAUCCCUCCCUCACCCUCUCUCUCUCCAAUUCCAACUUCUCCCUACAUCUCUCUGUCUAUAAUAGAUGUGCAGUUUUAUUAAUCUUUGUUGCCGAAGCGUGCAAGAUAGUGAAAAGAUUGUUUAUCUAAGAAAAAAAAGGGCACAUUUUAGAUGGAGACAGAUGGCAUUUAACAAAUUCUUCAUUAGUGGAGUAAAUAAUUUGCAACCACCUAUUUCCUGGUAGCAUUAAAAAAAAAAUUCAAUUUUAAAAAAGAAAUGUACUUUUUAGUUCAAUUUCCACAGCCAUAGUAAUUUAUGUGGACUAAAAUUAAGAUUAACUAAUACAUCCAAUCAACUGCAACUAAACAACUUAUAGUAAUUGAAUCUGUGUUUGUGGAUGUGAGAGAGAGAGAGAGAGAGUUAUCUAUUAUAAAGCCAACCUUCUUUGAAUUGGUCCUCUUAUGGCUUAUUACCAAAACUCUCCAUUGCAUUUGCAGUAAUGCCCUCUGCUUCUCCUCCUGCGAAUUAUCAUUCUGUAAGUAAAAGGUACAAAAACAUCAAUUACUUAAUGGUAGAUAUGUACUUUAGACUUUUGAAGAUCCAAUUCAUCCUGCAUCUUCUCACACUCAUCUUCAUGCUGAAGCUGCAAACCUGUCAGCUCAGCUUCAAGUUCGCUCCUCAUUGAAGUUAUUUUCUAUGAAAAUGAUAAACUGGUUUGUAACGUAAGCAUAUAACACUCUAGUUAAAUUAGUAGUUCCAACUUAAUUCAAAGCUAAAAACGACAUUAAUGACCACAAUUUAAGAAUCCAGAAACAGCCCAAACUAACAACACACACAGAGGACAGACACUGAAAGACAUAUUUUUUUAGAGAACCUAACUAAAAAUUAAAAACAAACCAAGUAAAAUUUUCAGAGUUUAAAAACAGGAAACCAUUACAAUCUUUACAGAAACCAACUAAAAUUGGAAUCUGAAAAAAAAUCCGCUCAAUUUUAACAGCCCUGCUGCAUAUAUUGGGUUUUUUUAGGCAUGAGACAACACAAACGAAGAAAACAUAACAUAGUUGUAAACCUUAGGCUCCAAUCAGGUCAAGUGUGAGAUUUCAAACACGGAGAUUUACUCCAUGUUUAAAAACUGCCAAAUACAUUGCCAACUGUUAAGAGUAUGAACUACAAAUCUAUAAAGUAAAAAGACUUGCAGAUAAGUUUAAACAAUCAACAUUCAACUUAUGAUUGUUACUGUUUUUUAGCUGGAUGUUCACAUUCUAAUAAGGUAUUAAAAGAGAUUAUAAGCGUGUGUGCUCUUAAACCACCCAACACCAUGUAUUAAUCAAAUAAUUAACAUCUAAAGAUGGAGACAUGAAACACGAAACCUGCAAUUAGAUCCCAAUCACAAAAUGCCAAAAAAAUCCUAAUCUAACCAUCCCUAUACUAAUAGCCCAUUCGAGCAGCUAUUAGCACCUAACCCGCUACUUUGGCAACCCACCAACCCGCCACACCGUCAUGUCCCAUCCCCUCUCCACCACUCACUAUAUCUCUCACCUUUCUUUCUUGACAUUUCGCUCGGUGCACACAAACACCAAGCCAACCAUUGCCGGCCUUUGUCUAAAAGUGGACAAAAUCCCAUAGGUCCUGGCAGAGGACCUAGCUAAAUCUCUCUCCCACUCAGUCGAAACCCGUAGCUACCAUUUCUCUCCAAUCUGUCAGUCUCUCUGUCCCCCUCUUCUCCUCCCCCCAACAACCCUCUGACCGAUGCAUCACCCACAGCCACACCCACCCGCACCCGAGUCAAAAAUCCCAACGAUCCUCUCCCUCCAACCCGUCAACAAAUUAUGGAUUCCGAGAAUGUAUCUUGAAAACUCAGAUGCACAUGAUUAAAAUUAGUAGAUAUUAAGGACGUGUACUUAACAGAACAACACGAAGAACGAAUGAGUACAUUACAAACUAAAUGACCGUGUCAGCUAGAUACUUCUUAAAGAACACCUCUAAUCUACCAGUAUGAUUACUCAGUUUUUGGUUUUUAAAUUAAUACCCUAAACCUUACAUUCAAACUCAUUUCGAAUGCAAACAAAAGUAAAUGAUAAGUCCCGAGCUUUUCUUUCUAGCCUCAACUCAACUCAAGUUCCCAACCUUCACCUUCCAAUACAAAGAAACUAACGCAUCAAUCUGCAAUUUCGCAAACAUAUAAUUCAACUAACCAAGUUCUGUGUCCACUCAAAUGCACAUAUUUGAGCUCAAUCAAACUUAAAUUUGAAACAAAUAGUGAUGAAAGAUCAAACAUUUAUACCUAGCUUAGGAUCCGAACCAAUCUCCUCUUUCGCCUCCCUCGUCGCCGUGUCCCCAUCGUCCUUGUCCCCCUCCUCUGUUUUCCCACCCGGCAAAGAAACUUCACCUGCAGAAACACAAAACCAAAAAUUAAAAAACCAAUCUUUCCCAUUUCCAUUUUUAUCAAUUUCCUCAAUUUUUCCCAUUUCCAGAAAAAUGAGCAAGAAGCUUAAGCAGGAAAAAAAUCAUAAUUUCAACAACCAAAACCCAAUACCCGUUUAAUCAUACACGAACGAAAAAUCUAAACACAGAGUCACAGAUUAACGAACUGAAAACCCAAAAAAAAUAAAGGAAACUGACCUUACUUAAGAACAAUACAUAGAACACAGAGAAACGAAACAAAUAAAGGAACCCCCAAAACCAAAUAAAGGAACCCUCAAAACCUGACCUAACAGUGCAACAAAAUCUGGAAAUAAUUCACAGCAAAAAGGCAGAAAUGAUGACAAUCUAUGCUAACAGUAAAGAAUCGAAUUAAAAAUUGAACUUAGCUUUUGAAAUCCAGCCACUCAUCCGACAUGCAAAAGGGAACGGAUGAUCGAGAGUGAAUCAUGGACUGAGGGACCUUACUCGACCCAUCAUUGGAGCUACGUUUGUAGCUUUUGGGGAGAAAAAAAUUGAAUGUGAAAGCUGCUUUUGAUGUGGCCAUUAAGGUGGUGCUUCAGCAACCGAAGCAAAAGAAGAAGAGGCAGAAAAAUGUGAGUAUUCCAUGAAGAAAAAAAAAAGGUUAAAAAAUCACUAAAAAGAAAAGGCAGAAAAAUGCAGGGUAUUCCAUGAAGAAAAAUUCAACAAUUAAAUAAUAUAGCUGUAAACCUUAGACUCCAAUCAGGUCAAGUGUGAGAUUUCAAACACAGAGAUUUACUUCAUGUUAAAAAACUGCUAAAUACAUUGCUAACUGUUAAGAGCAUGAACUAUCUGUAAAGUAAAAAGCCUUGCAGAUAAGUUUAAACGAUCAACUGUCAACUUAUUAUUGUUGCUGGUUUUGAGGUGGACGUUCGUAUUCUAACAUGGUAUUAAAAGAGAUUAUAAGUGUGUGCGCUCUUAAAUCAGCCAACACCAUGUAUUAAUCAAAUAAUUUAUAUCUAAAGAUUGAGACAUACAACAUGAAACCUGCAAUUAGAUCCCAAUCACAAAAUGCAAUAAAAAAAUUCCUAAUCUAACCAUCCAUAUACUAACAACCUAUUCGAGCAGCUAUUAGCACAAUUUACCUCCCUCUCUAUUCUUCCCCACCCCCUCUUUAACCAAAUAAAAACUCAUUUGUCUCACUAAAUAAAAACCUCAAAUUUGUUUUUUCAAAGCUGCAACAACAUCACUAAAAACACCAUGUAAUAAAAAUUUAAAAAAACCAAUCCAAUUUAAGUCGAGAAGCAAAUGACCAAACCUCCUAUUUUGAGGAAACAUUUUGCAUUCAAACCUAAAAUGCUUGCCUGCAAAGAAGGAUUAAAUAGCAAAGCAGACUUUCGGGGGAAAUAAAAAAAACAGACUAUUUAUAAUACAAUAAAAAUAAAGUAAUUCAUCAUCCCCACCAUCUCUGUGAGCUUUAACAGAACAGAGGAAUCAAAUUAAGCAAUAUAUAAAUUUAAGUUGACAUUCCAGUGUUCUACCUCUAACCUUGGUAGCAUGCAUGCACUGUAAGUUAUAAAGUGAAUUAAGCCAAGAUCUUCUAACUUCAUGAUUUUCACAUAUGCAUUAGAUGGAGAAAUACAAUAAAUAAUCAAAUAUGUAAGACUCUGAUAUUCAAAACCAAACAAACCCAAUUACACUUUUAGUUCACUAACCCCAUUGAAUAAAAUCCAAUUCAAUAAAAUAACAGAAAAUUAAACAACCCAAAAAUCAAAACAACCCCACUUGUAGUUUUAGCUCACUAAUCCGUUGGAUAAAUAGAUGCCAAAUUCAAUCAGAAAACAUACAAUUAACAACAACCCAGAAGAGCCAUCCGAAAACCCAACCAAUUAACCAAAAAAUACCACUUGUUCUUUUAGCUUAGUAACCAACCUCUACUUGUUUUCUGGCAAAUUUGGGGUCCUUUGAUUUCUAGACUUUCAGUAGAAACUGAUUAUACCAUGGGCUAAUAUUCAAGUACCACAAAAUAUAAUUUUACCGUAGUAAGCUUUUUGAUUCACUCCAAACGAAGAUAUUAUAUGUUCACAUAUAUAUAUUCACAACCAUAAAAAGAAGAACUUAUCUCUGGCAUUUUAAUAAAAAUAAAAAUAAAUUAUUCACCCACAGUAAAAACCGAAACAGCUAAAUUAAACCCAAAAAUUAAUCAUGAUCAUACAUAUGUAUUCCUGACAAAUGUUUAGCCCUUUAAUUAAAACACUAAAAUAAAAAAUUGCUCACCCACAGUAAAAAACCGAAACAUGCAAACCAAAGCCCAAAAUUUAAUCAUCACUAUUACUUUUUUUUUUUUUGGUGUUUUUAAGUUUCAGGGAAAAAUGGAAGCACAAACAAUCAAAAAACCCAAACAAAAAGAAAUUAACACCAAAGAGAUAAAUUAUAUACCUGACCCAGAAAAAGCUUGGAAGCUCACAUAAUGAAACCCUAAAACUCGAAGAAGGAUGCUUCCUGCAAACCAAAUACAAAAUCAGACUCUCUCUCUUAGAAAGAGAGAAGUUAUCAAGUCCUGUACUUGGUUAUAUUUGUUCAAGUUAGGAAAAAUCGAGUACAGGGUUGGUACCUGGAGCUUGAGAAAUCAGAGAGCUUGCCUGUUUGAGAAAAGAUGAUAACAACAGCUUCAGAUUCACACAGAAAACGUACAAAAAACGCACAACAUGCUCUCUGCCCUCUCUCUCUCUCCCUCCCUGUCCAUCCGUCCCUCAAAAAGUGGGAAAAAAAAUCUCCAAACGUCUCUCCCACUCAUGAAAUCGAGGAUCUGCAGCAAUGGCGCUGAGGUCGCCACUCCUCCCUCUCCCUUUCUCUGUCGCUCUGUCUCUGUCUCUGUCUCUGUCUCUGUCUCUCUCUAUCGAAGGCAUGGCCUUUCAUCCCCGAAACCCUCACUGAAUGACAGCAAACCCAAACCCACCCCAAUCCGUCUCAAACACACAGGACAAAAUUGCCCUUCCAACCCAGCCCCAAUACCAGCCCAAACCUUACGGUUUUGUUGUAAAUAGCGUGAAAUCGAGUGGCUCCCUGAUAAGCCAUAUGGACAAAAUUACCCUCUGAAAUUUUGAGAAUCACCCUCCCAACCCACUCCCAUUCGGCUGGUACUGUUGUAAAUAAAGCAAAAUAAAAACAAACGUGAAUAGUGCCUGCCCUCCCCCUACUUUAGUAUAGAUAAUUUUGCACAUUGCAUAUAUGUAGAUUAAGGACGGUGGUAACAUACCUUGUAAUUUGUACAAAUUAGGAUUUUCAUUCAAAGAACUAUAAUAUACACAAUUACAAAAAAAGUGAUUCAAACUUGUUCUUCUCUUAAGGAAAUUACUCACAGUUGAAAUUCUGAAUGGAUGAAGUUUUGGCUUCCCUUUCCGACUAUAUUUGAUUAACCUUUUUUUAAUCCAAUGAGUGCCUUCAUGAGAGAGAGAGAGAGAGGAAUAUUAGGUGAAAAGUAUUGCCAAAUCACACAGAGAUCAAAAUCUUGAAUAUAUAUGUUUAACCAUGUCAAAGUGAGUGUGUAAAGGGUGUAGUCUGCAGAAAGGGCAACAUUUUCACUGCUAGAAAGUUGGAAACUAAACUUUUACACAGAUAUUGGAUUUUAUUAAUUCCCUUCGCGAAUUGAAAAGCAAAUUGUUCGAGUAAUGCAGGUAAAUUCGAUAUACAUAUGCGUUGAUCUAUGUGACGGUUAUAAGUUAUAACUGUAUUGUCUUAACGCAAAAAUGAUCAUAAAUGUAAGUGUCUGUAUUAUGGAAGUAAGGGACUUACAGCAAUUGCUAUGAGCUUUAACAGCAGUCACUCCAAGUACCUUAUUACGGAAGUAAGGGACUUACAUCAAUUGCUAUGAGCUCUACCAGCAGUCUCUCAAAGUGGUGCAAGGGCUAAAAUUAUAAAUAAAAAGUAAUUUAAACAAUUUAACUUAAUAAAAUAUUGUAAUUUAAACAAUGCCUAUAUAUUCAAACAUCCCAAAACAGGAAUGAACUUCUAGAAAACAUGCGCAUGAAAAUAAACGGCAUUACUCACCCAUUGAGUUGGACCAUCAAACUGGAGCGUAAGAAGGAUCAUCAUGUACCUAUGAAACCCAAAGGAAAAUUUUAGCAACCCCAAAGCUUGUAUGCAAGCGUGAAUAAGUAUGCGUGUAUGAAUCUAUUCAUAGUGAAGAAGGCUACCUUAAGAAAUAUUUGCAUCUGCAGCUUCAUAUGGCCAUACAACAAAAAGCAUCGCAUAUGAUAACAAACCCCAGCUGCACCACAAAAGGAAUAUGAUCUUCCUCUCGACUUGUAUUUGCAGUUGUUACUGUAACAUCUGCAGACAGCAUACAUAAGCACUGAUUCGAUAAUUCUAAAGGAAAAAAAGUUCUUAUUCGAUAAUGCACCAAAUCCUAUCCAAAAACCAAGGGGGUGCCAUAUCCCUAGAUUAACAGAGCAUCUUUCUUUGUUCCAAAACAAAUUGCAAUUGGCUUUGGUAAAGUAGAAAGAUUACCAGAUACCGACUCUGUUCCAUUAUUCGACUGUCCUUUUAGUUCUAUCUCUCAACAUGGGAAAUACAAUAAGACAGUAAAGACAAAAGUUAGUGAUGCUAUUACAUAGUGAAAGAAAAUAAGACAUUCACAUAUUGAUAGCUAUUUACUGUCCUUUCUCAUCAUAAUCUUGGCCCCAAUAUAUAUACUGAAUUUUGAAUGCAAUGAGAGAAAUAUACCUUUGGGGCGUCAAUGCCAGAAGAGUGAGUGAGGGAUCUAAGAUGUUUGAGAGCAGGAAUUUUUAAGUAAUUUGUGUGAAAAAGUUGAAGAGCUUCGAACAGAGUGGAGUGGGUUGGCCUGGGCUAAAAUAAAGAGGAUGAACUCUAGAAAGUAGAAAAUGUUGUUAUUCAACCAAACUCAAAAGUAAAGAAACCAUACAAUUAACAUAUAAAUAAGUUUUAUAUACCAAUGUUUACAUGUACGUUGUUUGAGAAGGUAAAUUAGCAACAUAUACAGUGAUCAAAAGAUUAACAGCAAUAAACUGCUCAUUAUUCGAAAUAUACAUGAAAGUUGUCAUUCACAUGAUCCAAAUGGUAGAGGACAAAACAGAAGGAAGCAAAUAUUAUAGCAGCAUAAGUUGAAUAAUUGCAGCAAGUAAACAAAUAGAAAGGCUAGCUAGAUUACACAAUCCAGUUCUAGGUCGGACUAACCAUGUUAGCCAUCCGCCCACCACCAGCACCGUCGGCUUCUUAUUAAAAAUGUAGAAUAGAAGACUCAAAAACUGGAAAUGAAAGCAGGUAACAUUGAGUUUUAAUAACCAAAAAGGGACAUUGUUUAAGCAGCUCCAUAGCAGCAAUUAUACUUGGACGAUGAGCUGCAAAAACAGAAAAGAAAACACAAAUUAAACUAAAAAAAAUAUAAAAUUUAGCACUAAUCCAGGAUUAAAUAUAAAAUAUAAAGUCAUUAGGAUUGGGACCUUUGCAUUGAGGAAUAUCUACUACAUUAUGAGUUCCCUCCUGACAGUGGCGGAUCCAGGAUUUUAAACUCGGGGGGUCUCAAUAAUAAAGGUCAAAAAAUUUAUACACAAAAACAACAUUGAAAAUUUAAAUAUAAUACAUUUCAUUCAAAAAUCAUAUGCAAAACAAUAUUACAAAUUAUAAAAUCAUAAUUCAAGCGUCCAUUACAAGGUUUCAUAAGUUACUACCUAAGUUAUUGAUUAUCUAAUAUGGACCACUAAAUUUAAAACACCAGUCAAAUAAAACUCUUCCCAAACUCCCACUAUCUUUCUAACCAAACACACCAUUUUUCUCUUUUACUAGUUUCCAAACAUCCACUUUCUCUCUCACUAAGAACACAGCUGCCAUACCUCCACCAACCACCUCCCUCCCCAUUCUCCCGAAGCCAUGGCAGCUCCACCCCCAAAUUUCACCAACCCAUGACAGAUCAUAUCCAUCUUACUAACCUUAUGCAGGAAAUUUCACCCAUAACAAAAAUUACUAAGGUGGUUGAAAUAAUUUGGGGAAAUUUGGGCUUAUGUACUGCCCCGCCAGACGACAGAUGGAGGAGAAGUGGGUGGCACCGAUGGAUGAGACCAUGGCAGAAGCAAGGAGAGAGGCUGGAAGGGUCCCUAUUUUCUUUCUUCUCCGUGCGCGGUCAUCUUCUCCGAGAAGAAGACAGCCACUGCAACCUACAACCUGCACAGACCUCAUGCUCGAGUACGAGGGGUCCCCGGAAAAUUUCUAGCAGCGAUUUAGGAUCGCCGACGGGUCCUGGGACCUCCCAGGUCCCUAUGUAUGCAGGAAAACCUAAGGUUCCUCCUUAGGUUUUUCGAUGUACCAAACCCGAAUCCGCCGUCCUUUUUCCAAAAUUCUAACGUUUUCAUAGAGUUUUAUUAAACGACCUUUAAUUGUGUUUAGGUGCAUCGGUGGAAGUGACCUCAUUCUUGAUGGUUCGAGCGGCUUUCGGGCAAUGGAAAACUUGUGAGUGGACCCCUUCUAAACUUAUAUAUUGUUAUAAAAUAUUAGCCUAGCAUGCAUUCCAUAUUUCAUGAUUUGAAUAUGAUUUAUAAUAUGCUUUAUGGACUUUUAUAAUUAUGGUUUACGAAAUAGUUUGAUUUAUCGAAAUUACGUUUUAUUAGGUAUUGAAUUAUUGGAUUUACAUAUAUGGAUUUCUAUGGUUUUCAAAUACGAUUUAUAUUACGGUUUUACGAACAUGAAUUGUUUUAUGGAUUUCAUGAAUACAAUUUAUCUUGGAUUUAUGAGAUGAGACUUUGAGCUAGUGAGCUCCGGGUUUGAUAUGAGUUUUGAGAUAUGUUUUUGGUACUUAAUCUAGUGGGUUAUCAUACGGCACAUCCGCACACCACGGGUAUAGAUGUGUAUGGCCAUAGGACACAGAUGAUGAGGAGGAGUAAGAUAUGAUAUAUUGUAUACCCCCAGUUCACUGUCGAAAGCAGUGUCAGAUAACUUCACUAGCCAUGGCUAGUGUCGGUAUGGAUGUUAUGCUAUUUCAUACAGCUUCACCUUCGGGUGAUAGACAGUUAUUUAGCUUCACCUUCGGGGUGAUGGACAUGUACUACCUUCGGCCAACUAUAAUAGCCUUAGUUGAGUACUUCACUGACAAGAUUUACAAAUUUGCCUUUGGGCGACGACAUUUUCAUUAUCAAGCACUGGAUUUUACAUAUCUACCUUCUAAAUGGAUUUUCAUGGCAUGCUAGGGUUUUUCAUAAAGCCUAUAUGUAGUAUUAUAUAUGUUUUCAAAAUAAGGGGUUAUUAUGUUCAUAAAUAAAAUGUUUUCCUAUUAUUAGUAUUAUUAAUAUAAACUUUGGUCCACUCACCUUUUCAGUUUUUGCGCCUCCUCAGGAGUUAGGAUCGAGGCACAUGAUCCCGGCAUCAUGGCAUGUUGAUAUAGGUAUCCUUGAAUCUUCUUAGUGUAGGUAUCAUUCCCUUAUUCAUAUCUUUUUAUAGUGAUUCUUUCCUAUUAUUUCUAAUUAGUUGUAUGCUCUGAACAAAUUCCUGCUUUGGUAUAAUCGUUAUAACUACUUAUCUUGUAAUUGUUUGCAUGUUUAAAAUGGUUUCGUCACCUUUGGGCGUGGGCUAGCACGUGCCUACCCUGGUAUGUUGGGGUAUCGGGGUUGGGGCGUGUCAAAGAUAGAGAGUGAAUUUCUAGCAGAUUCAAUGGUUGUCUACAUUUUAAAAAGAGCUUGCCGAAAAGAUUGAUUCAGAUGAAAUAACAAAGGAUUUCAAUUCCAUUAAGGAUUGAAGGGCACAACUUGAAUAGGUAUUUUUCUUUUUAUUUGUUAGGUUGUUAUGACAAGAUUGACGAUGUAUGUUUCUUUAUAUUGUAAGUUGCAACUUUAAAGGUUUUCUUCGUUAAAUCUAGUUGAAACUUGAUUCAUUUAGAGUUAAAUUUCUUACUUCAAAUUGUUGCUUUUAGGCUUAUUAUUGUGUAACUUUAUGCAAGCAACAAAAAAUUUUAACCAUUUGAUUUUGUACUAAUAAUUUUAGCUUAGCAUGCCACCAAAUAAUUCAUGUCUCCGCUAUUGAAAUCUUAGCAUGUGCAAUUUCAAAGUCUCGGUUGCCAAGUCUCCCCAGGCUGUUCAGCACCCAUUCUGAAUCUUGAUCGAGAUCUAGAGCAGUGCAAGUCAAGGAGUCUUCAUUCUCAUUUGAAACAAUGCUAAAAUUAUACCUCAGCUUGGACUCCUUGGGCAAAAUAUACCCAAAUGUAUUAAUAAUUUAAUACUACUUGUGGAUGCACCACUAGUCCAAAAAAAUCACCUCUCCUUUCUUAAUCUUCAAUUGGUGAGGGUCCCAAUCAAGCGUGAAAGGCCCCGGCGCACGGUUGGCUUUAGUUUCCCAUGAUGAAAUCGACGAAACGUGGCCAUUUGUACGGUUGACACCCAAUUUCAUGCCCGGCAAAAAGGUGUCAACUGGUAAUCAAAGCUUUACGUUCACUUCUUCUUGUACAAAAUUUCCCGAAUCCAAAAGGAUAGCCACAACAGUAGCAAUACUGUUACUUAUGUUGGUAGACCUAGUAGUUUGUGGAGCUGAGAAAAACACAAUUGGAUUAGGAUCCCUCCCGCAUAAUUUUCAAGGUUUUAUUCCUGUCCAAGGCAAGAGUGCGUACAAAAUAGGGGCUUUACGGUUGCAAAUCCAAGCAAUGUUGCCAUCGGCCUUGUUGCUCUGGAUAGAUACGUAGCUGGUGCUUUUGGAACUGUCGUCGUGUACACAGGAACUGAAACUGAACUUCUCCGAUGCAGAGACCAAAGAACUUGAGGAGUUGAGAGUGUCUCCUGCUGGUUUCAGUGUGUCCUUGCACUUGCAGCAUUGUGACAGGUCCACAGUCAGCAUGCAAAAAUGAUUAAGUUGAUUAUUGCCAUGAUUAAUUAAUGACCAUAACAUGAAGUUUAAUUUCUCCAUAUGAUGAGGAAGAAAGACAUGAAAUCCAUCACCAGAACAUGAUUAAGAAUUUAAUCAAGCAACGCGUCUUAGUUAAACCAUUACAAUCAUUGUACAAGGCAUUUAUAAAUUAAAAAAAAGGGAAUAAAGUAAUAAUUGUUAGAAUAAGAAGAAAAUGUAGUACAACAAUGGAGGAUAUGCUGCAAUGACUAGAGUGAGAGAGAGAGAAAGAAGAGAGCAGAGAAUAUGACACUGCAAUUCUUUUCACACGCAUUGUUUGAUUGCUCACUUAGUGAGAGAGGAACAUCUCUCUACACUUAACAGUUACACUUCCAAACUUUUGGCAGUAUUCAAAAUUACAUCCAAGUAAUCCUAGCCAUCCAUCUUACACCCUAUGAGAUGAAGACACAUGUACACUCACUUACUUAAGAACUAUGAGACUUAGAUAAGAAAGCAUACAACCAAUUUAGCUAAUCAUCCUAGCAAUAUAAGCUAGAAAUACAACUACCACAUCAGAUCACAAUUUACACACUAACAGCCCCCUUUAAAUUGUGAACUGAUUUAACUCCAAGAAGUUCCCUCAGAUAACUGAAUUGUUCUCUUGCCAAUGCCUUUGUAAAGAUAUCAGCAAUUUGGUCUUUCGUAGGACAAUGCAACAGCUCAAUUACUCCUUGCUGCAAUGCUUCCUUUAUGAAAUGGUAUCUCCUGUUGAUGUGCUUGGUCUUCUGAUGAAAAAUAGGAUUUUUAAUGAUAGCUAUGGCUGAAGUAUUAUCACAAUUCAUUGGUGUUGCAACUAUUUGCAUUUCACCAAAGUCCUCCAAAACAAAUCUCAGCCAUGUAGCCUGUGCAGUUGCUUCAGAUGCACUAAUGUACUCUACUUCAGCUGUUGAUAAUGCAACACAUUGUUGCUUGACUGAAGACCAAGAGAAAACUCCACUGCCAAAGGUAAAUGCAUACCCCGAUGUACUUUUCAUAUCAUCUUCUGAACCGCUCCAGUCACUGUCACAAAAUCCCAUUAAGAUUGCUCCUUUGCCUUUCUUGUAUUCCAAGCCAAAAUCAAGAGUCCCUUGAACAUAUCUUAGUACUCUCUUUGCUGUCCCAAGGUGCUUGUUGGUUGGACAGUGCAUAAACCGUGAUAGCAGACAUGCAACAUACAUUAUAUCAGGUCUAGUUGCUGUGAGAUACAGCAAACUGCCUACAAUUUGUCUAUAUUGAGCUUCAUCCGUAGUCCCACUUCCAUCCUCUUUUCUCAAUUUAUCACUUGGAACCAAUGGAGUACUCACUGACUUACAGUCUUGAAGUCCAAAUUUCUUCAGUAGAGAAGAAGCAUAUUUUCUCUGAUGAAUGAAAAUAUACUCCUCAGUUUGCAUUACUCCCAUACCAAGAAAGUGAUGUAAGAGUCCAAGAUCAGUCAUUUCAUAUUUGAGCAUCAUAUUAGAUUUAAAGUCAUCCAUCAAUUCCUGACAACUUCCAGUGUAUAUUAUGUCAUCAACAUAGAUAGACACUAUAAUCAUUUCUGAACUUUUCCUCCACUUGGUAUACAGAGUUGCUUCGCUAGUGCUUUUCUUAAACCCACAGAGUGUAAGAUAUGAGUCUAUUUCACCAUACCAGGCCCUUGGUGCCUGCUUCAGACCAUACAGUGCUUUAUGUAACCUGUAGACCUUAUCUUCUUCCCCUUGUACAAUAAAUCCAUCCGGCUGAUCAACAUACACUUCUUCUUCUAGUACACCAUUCAAGAAUGCCGAUUUUACAUCCAAUUGAAACAACUUCCAUUUGUUCUUUGCUGCCAGGGCAAUUAAUGUUCUGAUUGUAUCCAACCUUGCCACAGGUGCAAAGGUUUCAUUAUAAUCAAUUCCGGGCUUUUGUGCAUAGCCUUUUGCAACAAGCCUAGCCUUGUUCUUUUGAACUGAUCCAUCCAAAUUCAAUUUAGUUUUGUACACCCAUUUCACACCAAUCACAGGUUUAUCAGAUGGUCUUUUCACUAAUUCCCAAGUCUUAUUUUUCUCAAUCAUGCUGAUUUCAUCUUUCAUAGCUUUCUUCCAUGCUUUAUCCUGUGCAGCUUCAUAAUAGGAUUCUGGUUCAACAAUACACAUGACAUCUUUCAUAGAUUUCACUCAAACUUCUAUAUCUCAAAGGAGUAUGAUCAAUCUGAGAUGCAAAAAUUGAGUCACUAGCACUUCCAGAUUCAAUGAGUGGAGAAUCUGUAAGUUGAGUCUGAGAACCUUCAGCAACAGCUUGUUCCAUGGAAUCCGAAUCCUCAUCAGCUUCUUUCAUCUCUGAAGAUUCACUUGCAGCAAUUGGAAUGUACACUUCUUUGAUCUUCUAUCUAUCCCAAUCCUAUGUACCAUUCUCAUAAAAAAUAACAUCUCUUGAAAUGAUUACUUUCUGAUUUUCAGGAUUAAGCAAUCUGUACCCCUUUUCACAAGUGCCAUAUCCAAUAAAAAUACCAAUGACACUUGUUUCAUCCAGCUUCUGUCUCAGGUUUCCAGGAAUAAGGGAAUAACCUAAUGAGCCAAACACUCUCAAGUGUUGAAUUCCAGGUUUUCUUCCACUGAAUUUCUCAAAAGGUGUCACAUUUUCCAAUACUUUUGUAGGACAUCUAUUUAGCAAGUAGACAGAUGUAACUACAGCUUCACCCCAAAGACUAUAAGGAAGACCUUUCUCAUGAAGCAUACACUUUGCCAUCUCCACUAUAGUUCUAUUUUUUCUCUCUGCAACUCCAUUCUGUUGUGGAGAGUAUGCAACAGUAAGCUGCCACUCCAAACCCAAAGCUUCACAAAACUGUUCAAAUUCAUUUGAGGUAAAUUCUUCUCCUCUAUCUGUUCUCAAUUUCUUCACUGAAAAACCACUUUGAAGUUCCACCAUAGCUUUGAAUUUCUUGAAUACAUGAAAGACAUCUGACUUGUGUCUCAAGAGAUAUAUCCAGCACAUCCUCGAAUAGUCAUCAAUGAAUGUAACAAAGUAUCGAUUUCCACUUAUGGUUGGUGUUUGCAUAGGGCCACACACAUCUGAGUGUAUAAGUUCCAAUGGCAUUCUUGCUCUCCAGAUUGACUCCCUUGGAAAGGACACUCUAUGAUUCUUACCAAAUGCACAUCCCUGACAUACACCUUCACUGUCAUGCAUUUCAGGUAACCCAAGAACCAUAUCAUGCUCCUGCAAUUGUUGCAAACUUCUAAAAUUCAGGUGGCCAAACCGUUUAUGCCACAUUGUACUAUUCUGAUGCACAUUGGUUUUCAGUACCAAAUGAUCGUUUGACUUGAACACAAGUGGAAAGCAUCUGUUCCCCUUUUGUUUCACACUAACCACUAAAUUUGUCAGAGUUCUAUCAUAAAAAAUAUCCACCUUAUAAUCACCAAAUAACAGAAAAUACCCAUGUUCAGUCAUCUGCCCAACACUGAGAAGGUUUUCUGCAAUUCCAGGUACUAACAUAACUUCUCUUAUGUACCUUUUUCCUUUAUCCGUGUCAAUGACCAAGGUUCCUUUGCCUUUCACAUCAACAAGAACCCCUGUGCCAACUUGCACUUUUGCUUUAAUACUUCUAUCAAUUUCCACAAGUAACUCCUCUCUGGAAGUCAUGUGAUUACUGCACGCACUGUCAAUAUACCAGGCAUCACUCACAGCUUUCACUUCAGUUGAUUGCUUGACCAUGAAGAGAUUUCCAGGUUCCAGGUUCUCCCACCUUGUUUCUAAAAUUUCUUUGCUCUCCCACUUUGUCUGCAAAAUUCCCUUGCUGAGCAUUUUUGUUUUGAUUGCAGAUCCUAGCAAUAUGACCAGGUUUUCCACACUUGUGACAUUUAAUCUUCCCUUUUAGCCAACAUUCACCAUAGUGAAGUUUAUCACAGUAUUUGCAUGCCCCUCCAGUGUUGUUAGCUUCAUUUCUUACACUUGGAGUAAACCUGUUAGUCCACUGCUUCCCUUUGAACUUGAAGUUCUUCUGAUAUUUUGAUCCACCAGUAUUGGUAUGUUGAUUACCAAAUUUACUAUUCUUAGAUGAGAUAUAUAUCUAAGCUAGCAAAUGCACGUUCUGUGCUACUCUCUUCAUGUCUGAUUAAUCUUAGUUCAAACCCUUUCAAUAUGGCAACCACAUCUUGUGCAUCAAUUACAUCAAUAUCUUUAGUAUUUUCUAUAACAGAAGCAAUGCUAUCAUAUGUUUUGGGUAAACUGAUCAAUAACUUUUGCACAAUUCUCUGAUUACUAAGAUCUUCUCCAUAGCUUCGCAUCUGAUUUAUCAGAUCAAACAACCUAGCUAAAUAUGCAGCUAGAGAUUCACUUUCACUCAUACGGGUAUAUUCAAAAUCACGACGCAGACCUUGUAAUUUCACAGAUCGUACCUGUUUGUCCCUACACAUACUCUUGCUUCAGAAUAUCCCAAGCUUCUUUUGCAGUUUCCAAGGUUGCAAUGCGUGGAAAAAUUUGAUCCGAUACGGCUCCCUGAAUGAUUCCAAGAGCCCUUGCAUCCUUGACCAGAUUUUCACUCCGCAACUUCGUUUCCACCUCAGUGAGUUCUCCUUCCCCUUUCGCUGAAGUGGUAAAACCUUUUUCAACAAUAUUCCAUAACUCGUGAGAUCGGAAGAUUGUUUUCAUUCGAAUCUACCAGAAAUCGAAAUUUUCUCCGUUGAACACCGGAGCUCGAAGCUCCCCUCCACCAGAUCCAGCCAUGUUAGACUUAGAUCACACCUCUCUCUACUAUUUUCUUUGCAACGAUGUGUUGCAAACACUUGCUCACUAUCUCUCACAGAAUCGACGCCCAGAGAUUCAGACCCAACAAGGCUCUGAGGCCAUGUUAGAAUAAGAAGAAAAUGUAGUACAACAAUGGAGGAUAUGCUGCAAUGACUAGAGUGAGAGAGAGAGAAAGAAGAGAGCAGAGAAUAUGACACUGCAAUUCUUUUCACACGCACUGUUUGAUUGCUCACUUAGUGAAAGAGGAACAUCUCUCUACACUUAACAGUUACACUUCCAAACUUUUGGCAGUAUUCAAAAUUACAUCCAAGUAAUCCUAGCCAUCCAUCUUACACCCUAUGAGAUGAAGACACAUGUACACUCACUUACUUAAGAACUAAGAGACUUAGAUAAGAAAGCAUACAACCAAUUUAGCUAAUCAUCCUAGCAAUAUAAGCUAGAAAUACAACUACCACAUCAGAUCACAAUUUACACACUAACAAUAAUUACAAGUUUUACACAAGUGACCAUUUAUUACAAUGGUGGAAAGGUGUUAAAAGCUUUUGCAUGACGGUGUGAGUUCGAACCUCGUCGGUUGUUAAUCUACAAACCCCGUCGGUAGUUAAUCUAACUUCUAAUCUAAUAAAAUCUAUUUUUUGACCAAAAAAAAAUAAUUACAAGUUUUACUAAAAAUUUAGGGGUGUGAUAUCUACACACCCCUUUUUACUUCUCUCACAUCUUUUUGAUUUUCGACCGUCGGAUCGGAUGAAUUGAAGAAGAUCAACGGACAGAAAUUAAUAAGGAUGUGUGAGAAGUAAAAAAAGGUGUGUAGAUAGCACACCUCAAAAUUUACCGGAAGACUUGAUCACCCAUUUGUAUGCUGACAACGGUGACUAGAUUCACAACCUCUUUCCCACGUAAAUCACAUCAUCCAAUUUUAUUUUUCUUACAACAUAUCACGUAUCUGUCAUAUGUAAGACUUUUUUGGAAUAUGGAGCGUGAAAUUGCAGCGGAAGCAUCCUAGAUUUUUGAUCGAAUAUUGAGUUUGGUUUCAUGACAGACUUCCUGGAUCAAACACACCCUAAAAAAAUAUAUAAAAAACCAAUAAGGUCAUGGUGAUACGACAUCAUUUUAAGAGGAAAGGUAAAAACAAUCUAGUUUCUAUACUAGGAAGAUUCACUCGAACAAAUUCUUGGAAACUAUGACUCAAACAAAAUUCUAGGAAUUCAGUAUUUUUAACAAAUGAUAAACGUUUAAGAUAUAUUCUUUAUAAUAUUAGAGAAAUCGAACGGUUGAUCUAUAACUCGCAAAGUGGUUGUAGCUCAAGUAAUUUUACUCCCCAAUUUUACAUAAAACAUAAAAUAAAAACAAAUCCUAAUUUACAUGGUAAUUUUUUUUCAUAGCUAGGGACAACUUCGACUAUGGUAAUGCAAUUAAUAUACACUAGUUUUGGAUGGAGAAGUUUCAAGAUUGAGCAUGGGAUGGGGAGGGGCGAGAGACUUGGAUGGAGAGUGAGGUUUUAUGAGUUAAACAGUGAUGCAAGGAUGUAUUACUUAAAACUUUAGAGACCGUAUGUUGGGCUAUAUAUAAUUGUUUAACUCAUAAACGUUUUGAGUGUUUCUAACAUAUGCUUAUCAAAAGCCUUCUCGUUCUAUCAAACAAUACGAAAAUUUUCAAUUGAAUGCAAGACAUACUAUUUUAUAUAUCACAGUACUUCAUGGAUCAUCAUCAUCACAUAUCCUUAAUUCAAAGGUAAUAAAUGAGCAUCUAGUUUUAUUUUUAUUUUAUUUUAUAUAGGGACUACAGAAGCAAGCACCCUUUGUAAAUUAAACUCUAAAACUUCUCAAGUAUCUUGAAAGGUGCCAAAAGCCAUCAGCCAACUCCAGUUGAUGCAUAACCUCCUACAUUUACAAAAACAGCGUCGCCGUUAAUUUAUUGACUUCUUCCCAGGACACAUACCAAUUUGCGAAAGUGGUUUGACUGAUGCUAAUUAGUCGAGUAAAGUACAGUCUUUUCAAUUAAGCAGAUGCAAAACACUUAGUUGAGGCACUACAAAUAUGAUUUUUACCUUUAAUUAACGCGCUUCAAAAUCUGAACUGGACAUGUAGUUUGCUGAAGCAACAGUUUCAAGUUGCUGAUUCCCACUUAUACCAGCCUCCACCGUCCUCCUUCCAACAAAAAAUGCUGGCUUUGUUGGUGAUGCUAAUCGAAAGCUUUCAUUUGUCAACAUAGAUAUGACAUCUGACAUGGUAGGGCGAUCUGCUGCAUUUUCUUCUACGCAAAGCAGACCGACAUGGAUGCAUCUUAACAGUUGCUCUUUAAUAAACGAAUUUCCUAAUGUUGGAUCCGUUAAUUCUAGCCCUGCACCUUUUUUCCAUAACUCCCAUGCCUGAAGAACAAGGAUUGCAUUUCAUUCUAAAGAAGAAAAAAUAUGAUUAUAAAUUUUAAGAGAGAGAUUUGUUUGUCAUACAUAUCCUACUAAAUUGAGUGCGCGAUCGUCAUUGUAAAAGCUGUUGUUUUUCCUUCCACUUAUGAUUUCAAGCAUCAAUACCCCGAAACUGUAGACAUCAGACUUUACAGAAAUAAUUCCCCCCACGGACUCUGGAGGCAUGUAACCACUGCACGAAAUGAAAAAGAAAAUUAGUCAGUAUACUUAUCUGGAAAAAUGCGUGUUUAGCAGUCAAAAGGGGAGGACCACGUCAAUGUGAUGCAGAAAUACUUACAGUGUCCCCACAACCUUUCUAGUGUUUGCUUCCAAUUCAUUUUGGGUGAAAAUCCUUGCCAUACCAAAAUCUGAAAUUUUUGGGUUCAUGUUUUCAUCAAGUAGUAUGUUACUAGCUUUUACAUCUCUAUGAAUUACUUUCUUUCUUGAGUAUUUGUGCAGAUAAAGCAACCCUUGAGCAAUUCCUUCGAGAAUGCUAAAACGCUUCUUCCAAUCUAGUAGUAGACCUCUGAUUGGAUCUGUCCAAUAUGUAGAGUUAAGUAGGACUAAUAUUAAUUAAUAGUAGUACUCUAUGAACUUUGACAGUAAAAUAAAAAUCAGAUAGUAAAUUUAACAAAUGAAAUCAAGUAUCUUGGUUCCUCACCAAAUAAAAAGUGGUCCAAACUUUUGUUCUGCAGAUACUCAUAUAUCAACAUCAUUUCUUCACCAUGAAUGCAAAAUCCGAAAAGGUGAACCAGGUUUGUAUGUUGGAGUUCAUAUAUAAGUAUCAGUUCAUUCUUGAAUUCUGAUGUUCCUUGCCCUGAACAUUUCGAAAGCCUCUUCACAGCUAUUUCUUGUCCCGCCGCCAAUUUCCCCUGAAUUGAUAAUCCAUAUCAUGUUUUUGCUGUCAUCUUUAGGCAAAUGAAGCUAAUUCCUUUUUUUUUUCUUACAGCUUUUGAAUUAGAACUUGGGAGCAGCCUCUCCAUAAAUGGGGGUAAGGCUAGCCGACAUUCACCUCUCCCAGACCCUGCGUAAAGCGGGAGCCUUGUGCACUGGGUACGACAGCUUUUGAAUUAGAAGCAGAAAUUUUUUUUUUUCAAAAUGUUACCUUAAACCGGUCCAAACCCUCCUUGUCCUAGCUUGUUUUCUUCAGCAAAGUUGCUUGUGGCAGCCACGAUGGAUGAAUAGCUAAAAACGCUAAAAUCAUGAUGUCGCUUAGAUUUCAUGAAGAUAAUCAUUUCGUUCUCAAUCGUUGUCCGGUUCUCACCUAUACAGAUCAAUUAUAAGAAAUUAAAGUUUCAAUGGAGACAACAAUUGUCAAAGAUGUGAUUAAUAAUCCUGUCUUAUGUUGGAUUAUGUGGCCAAGUGGCCAUAUACUUUAGAUUAAACAAACCAAAGGUGGACAACACCUUUCCUUGUUUUGGGGAGGAAAAUAGGGAAAAGGUUUUUUGUCUUGGUCCAUGGGAAGUCACGGUUGAGGUUUUGAAUAAUAAGUUUUGGUUGUAAUGAGAAGUAAGAGUGGGAUAGAAGAGAAGAAAAUAGAGUGCAGAAAAUUGAGAGAGCCGAAGAGAAGAGAGGGAGAGAAAGAAGGUACUGCUACAGUACCAUUUUCAGAGAAGGGGUUGUUGUUCCUUUCAUUGGAUAAUUCUCACUCCAUCAAAGUGUUAUUGUUGUAAUAGCUUUGAGCUUUGUAUAGAGAAGAAAUUAAUCACUAUAUUUCUUUCUCUAUUUGUUUCUUUGGAGUGUGAGUUAUUGGGUUAUUUGGGUUGUGAGAUUGCCAACACUUUGUAAACUCCCAUUUGGUUGAUAGUGGAUUCUUGGGUGAGCUCCUACUGCUCCGAGGACGUACUCUAGUUACACUGACUGUUGAGGAACCUCGUUAAAAUCUUGGUGUCUUUAAUAUUUUGUUCUUGCAUUUUAUUUGAUAUAUUUCCUGUGGGUUAGCUUGAGUUGGUUCCACAAGGGUUUGGUGCUAUCCUAGCACAACAAUUGGUAUCAGAGCACUGGUUGCUCUUGGGUACUGUCUAGUUGCCAAAAAUGUCAGACGGGCAAGAUGAAAAUCCUUUUGGAAGCAGCUCCGGGUUUGCAAGAACGACGGUGCAAAAUGCAAAGUUCGAAGUGGAAAAGUUUGAUGGCACACAAACAACUUCGGGAUGUGGCAAUGUGAGGUCAAAGAUGUGUUGGCUCAACAAGAUCUACUUGCCGCGUUGGGAGAGAAGCCGGAAACUAUGUCGAAGCCGGAAUGGGAAAAAUUAAAUUUGUGGGCUUGCUCUUCAAUUCGGUUGUGCCUUGCAAAAACUCAGAAGUAUUUUGUGAUGCGGGAGACGGUAGCAAGUGUGUGUUGUGGCAAAAAUUGGAAGACAAGUAUAUGACAAAGAGUGCAGAGAACCGACUACACUUGAAGAAAAAAGCUCUACCGCUUCCAAUACAAAGAAGGUACAAAAAUGAUUAGACACCUUGAUGCUUUUAAUAAGUUGAUUGCCGACUUGUUAAAUUUAGAUGAGGAUAUUAAGGAUGAAGAUAAGGCCUUAAUAUUGUUGAAUUCCUUGCCGGACUCUUAUGAGCAUUUUGUUACAACUAUUAUGCAUGGUAAAGAAACUGUGAAAUUUGAAGAUGUGUCAAAUGCCUUGAUGAAUUAUGAAAUGAGGCAUAGAGAUAAAAAUCAUGAUAGUACCUCUGAAGCUUUAUUUGUUAGAGGUAGAUCAUCGGAGAGGAGGUCAUCUUCUAGCAGGAAAAAAUCACAGUCUCGACCUAGAGGAAACUCUAAAGGUAGAAAACCUUUGGAAAGGGAUGAAUGUGCCUUUUGUCGUAAUAAGGGCCAUUGGAAGAAAGAUUGUCCCAAAUUGAAGACCAAAGGAAAAGAAAGUUCUGAAGCUAAUGUUGCUGAGGUUGAAACAGAUUUUUCUGAUUUUGCUUUAACCACUUCCUCAUCAUUUGAUUGUGCUACUAAGUGGGUGUUGGAUACGGGUUGUACUCAUCAUAUGACUCCUCACAAGGAUUGGUUUUCAAGCUUGAAAGAGUUUUGAUGGUGGCGUUGUGUUCAUGGGAGAUGACAAUCCUUGCACAACAAAAGGGAUUGGUACAGUUCGUUUGAAGUUGCAUGAUGGCAUGGUUAAAGAGUUGACAGGUGUUCGGUAUGUACCGAAUUUGAAGAAAAAUCUUAUUUCUUUGGGUACUUUGGAAUCUAAGGGUUUCAGGUUUCAUUCAGAUGGACAGACAUUGAAAGUUACUUAUGGUGCACUUGUUGUGAUGAAAGCUCCUAGAUGUGGCCAUUUGUAUUUAUUGCAGGGAAGCACUGUGACAGGUGAAGCAUCUGUAGUCUCUGAAAAUAUGGGCACAUCUGAUUCAGAUACUACUAGAUUGUGGCAUAUGAGAUUAGGCCAUGCCGGUGAGAAAGCUCUACAAGGGCUUGUGAAAAAAUGUCUUCUAAAAGGUGCCACGACUUGUAAGCUUGAUUUCUGCGAGCAUUGUGUCUUGGGAAAGCAAACUAGAGUGAAGUUUGGUACUGCUGUACAUCAGACGAAGGGCAUUCUUGAUUAUGUGCAUUCGGAUGUUUGGGGUCCUACAAAGACUCCCCUCUUUGAGUGGUAGACAUUGGUUCGUGACCUUUGUUGAUGAUUAUUCAAGAAGGUCUUGGGUCUACACUAUGAAGCAUAAGAGUGAGGUGUUAAGCAUUUUCUUGGGUUGGAAGAAAAUGGUUGAGAACCAGACUGGGAGAAAGAUUAAGAUUUUGAGAUCGGAUAAUGGUGGUGAAUACACAUCCGAUCCUUUCUUUAAAGUUUGCAAAGAGGAAGGAAUUGUGAGACAUUUCAGUGUUCGGGGAACUCCACAACAAAAAUGGAGUUGCAGAAAGAUUGAAUCGAACCUUGCUUGAGAAAGGUUAGAUGUAUGUUGUCUCAGUCGGGUUUAAGCAAGUCAUUUUGGGCAGAAGCAGUUAAUUAUGCAUGUCACAUCAUCAACCGGUUACCCUCAGCUGCUAUUCAGGGUAAGACACCAAUGGAGGUAUGGACUGGAAAACCUUCUUCUGAUUAUGAUCAUAUUCGUAUUUUUGGUUCACCUGCUUAUUUUCAUGUAACUGAAAAUAAACUUGAUCCUAGAGCCAAAAAGGCUAUCUUUCUUGGUUUUAGUAGUGGUGUCAAAGGUUACAGGUUGUGGUGUCCAGAGAUGAAGAAACUGGUAAUUAGUAGAGAUGUGACAUUUGACGAAGAAAGUAUGUACAAAGUCUCUGAGAAGAAUGUGAAAGAUGUCCAACAGGUGGAGCUUGAGAAAGUUGCUUCUGGUACUUCAAAUCCUAUUUCCGCUGAUGUCGAAGCCACUACAAGUGAAGAAGUUGGAGACCAUGAGGAUGUUGAAGAAGUUGAACUUGAAGAUUCUAUUCAAGUUGAAGAGCAAGUUUCACCUCAAGAGUCUAUUGCCAAGAACAGAGGAAAGAGACAAAUUACUAAGCCAGCUCGGUAUAGUGAUUAUGUUGCUUUUUGCUCUUCCUAUUAUCACUGAAGAGAUUCCAUCCAAUUUUGAGGAAGCUAUUGAGAGUGAGGAGAAGAAUAGGUGGUGCAAUGCCAUGGGUGAUGAGAUGAAUUCUCUCUUGAAGAACAAGACUUGGGAGUUAGCUAAAUUGCCUAAGGGCAAGAAAGCUAUUGGUUGCAAAUGGGUGUAUGCCAAGAAGGAAGAUGCUGAUGAGAAAAGCAAUGUGAGAUUUAAAGCAAGAUUAGUUGCUAAAGGGUAUGCACAAAAGGAGGGCAUUGACUACAAUGAAAUCUUUUCUCCGGUUGUGAAGCACUCCUCAAUUCGCAUUAUGUUAGCUCUUGUUGCACAGUAUGAUCUUGAGCUUGUGCAACUUGAUGUAAAAACGGCUUUCCUACAUGGUGAUUUGAAUGAAGAGAUUUAUAUGUGUCAACCAGAUGGGUAUAUAGUGAAAGGGAAGGAGAAUUUGUUUUGCAAAUUGAAGAAAUCACUUUAUGGUUUGAAGCAAUCUCCAAGGCAAUGGUAUUUGAGGUUUGAUAAAUUUAUGAGAGGCCAAAAUUAUUCUAGAAGUCAAUAUGAUCAUUGUGUGUACUUCAAGAAGUUGCAAGAUGGGUCUUUCAUUUAUUUAUUGAUAUAUGUUGAUGAUAUGUUGAUUGCCUCAAAGAAUGUCGAAGAGAUUGAGAAAUUGAAGAAGCAAAUGAAGAAUGAGUUUGAGAUGAAGGAUCUUGGUGAAGCGAAGAAGAUCCUUGGCAUGGAGAUCACUAGAGAUAGAGCAAAGGGUUUCGUCAGUUUGAAUCAAAAACAAUACCUUGAGAAGUUGAUUCGGAAGUUUGGAGUUCAUGAUUCAACCAAACCGGUUAGUACCCCUUUGGCUCCUCAUUUUAAAUUGAGUUCUCUACAAUGUCCUAAAAUCGAUAAAGAGAAACUGCAAAUGAAAAAUAUACCAUAUGCAAAUUUGGUUGGUAGUUUGAUGUAUGCAAUGGUAUGCUCUAGACCGGAUAUUGCUCAUGCAGUUGGCAUGGUGAGUCGAUAUAUGCAUAAUCCAAGUAAAGAGCAUUGGCAAGCAGCUAAGUGGAUAUUGAGGUAUCUCCAUGGUACUCGAGAUGUUGGUUUAUGCUUUGAGAGGGAUGACUCUGGUAUUGGUCAUUUUGCAGUUGGUUAUGUUGAUUCAGAUUAUGCAGGUGAUCUGGAUGGAAGGAAGUCUACUACAGGCUAUGUGUUUACUAUGGCUAAAGGGCCAGUUUGUUGGAGGUCCAUUUUGCAGUCGUCUGUUGCCUUGUCUACUACAGAGGCUGAAUAUAUGGCAGUUGCUGAAGCUAUAAAGGAGGCCAUUUGGAUACAUGGGCUUAUUAGAGAUUUGGGGGUUGAUCAGAAGCAGGUGGAGGUACAUUGUGAUAGUCAGAGUGCCAUUUAUUUGGCUAAGUAUCAGGUUCAUCAUGCGAGGACCAAGCACAUAGAUGUGCGUUAUCACUUUGUUCGUGAAAUUGUUGGUGAAGGGGAAAUCAUUCUCCAGAAGAUUCCAACUAAAGACAACCCCGCUGAUAUGUUGACUAAGGUUGUUGGUGUAGCCAAGUUUGUUCACUGUUUGAACUUGGCUCACAUUUUGCCUAUAUAAAGAAGGCGUUGAGUAGUAGGAGUUUUGGAGCAUUUGGCUCAGCAUGAGUUGUUCUCUUGCUAGUGUUUGGGAGUGAUGUUGUGUGCUAAUUGUGUUGGUUGGCUUAUCAUGGCGUUUUCGGAACUUGGCCAAGGUGGAGAUUGUUGGAUUAUGUGGCCAAGUGGCCAUAUACUUUAGAUUAAACAAACCAAAGGUGGACAACACCUUUCCUUGUUUUGGGGAGGAAAAUAGGGAAAAGGUUUUUUGUCUUGGUCCAUGGGAAGUCACGGUUGAGGUUUUGAAUAAUAAGUUUUGGUUGUAAUGAGAAGUAAGAGUGGGAUAGAAGAGAAGAAAAUAGAGUGCAGAAAAUUGAGAGAGCCGAAGAGAAGAGAGGGAGAGAAAGAAGGUACUGCUACAGUACCAUUUUCAGAGAAGGGGUUGUUGUUCCUUUCAUUGGAUAAUUCUCACUCCAUCAAAGUGUUAUUGUUGUAAUAGCUUUGAGCUUUGUAUAGAGAAGAAAUUAAUCACUAUAUUUCUUUCUCUAUUUGUUUCUUUGGAGUGUGAGUUAUUGGGUUAUUUGGGUUGUGAGAUUGCCAACACUUUGUAACUCCCAUUUGGUUGAUAGUGGAUUCUUGGGUGAGCUCCUACUGCUCCGAGGACGUACUCCAGUUACACUGACUGUUGAGGAACCUCGUUAAAAUCUUGGUGUCUUUAAUAUUUUGUUCUUGCAUUUUAUUUGAUAUAUUUCCUGUGGGUUAGCUUGAGUUGGUUCCACAAGGGUUUGGUGCUAUCCUAGCACAACAUCUUACUGGUGCACAUGAUUUAAAGAAAUAUACCAGCUGAUGCAAGGGCUGAUCUUCUUCGUUGGAGUAGAUAGUACGCGGUGCAAAGCACUAGAGCAGCAGCUAUAGAAAUGCCAAUCCAAACCCAUUUAUCUGCUGCAUCAUAAACAAUUAGCUAGCAACAUAUGCAAUCAGCGUAACACACACGCACAUGUACGCAUUAAUUGUCUUCAAUUUUUGGAUGAACUAGGUCUUGCAGGUUUCUUCCAGAAAACGAAGAAAAAUCCGAGACAGAGAGCAGAACUUAAGACAACAAUAACAAAGAUAGAGGUACCUAAUAAUACUGAUUCCACGCGUGUCACAGAUUUCCGGCUUAAAUCGGGUUUGCAGCCUCGGUAUAUAUCCUUCGGAUCAAGAAAAGAAAACCCUUUUGGGCAUUCGCAGGUUGGCCUUUUAUCUGGUUUGAGCUUACAGGUACUGUUGUAACCGCAAACACCAACGCCCAGUCGUAGGCAAAUAUCAUCCGGCAUAUACACCAGAGGACUAAUCCAGCUUGCAUUUCCAGUGAAGUAUUUCGGGUGAGAAUAUAAAGCGAAAAUCCCAUCAAAAUCAAGAGUUGCCCUUAUGUAGUUGUCCCUCACCGACACUCCCUCUGUCCCCUUAAGAGGGACUCUUCCAUCAUUUUCUCUCAGAACAGACAUGUCCCCUGAGCUGCUGAACACCAAUUCUUUGCCUUGACUACCUGGCACGUUCCCUGCGGUGGUCUUCGUGGAGAAGUAAGCUUUCUUGGCCUUAUCUGUUGUCAAGUUGACGGAAAUGAGCACGAGGUUUCCAUCAUCUUGCAAGCGCAGCUGGAACCGCCCUUUUGUGUAGUUAGUCUCCGAUUGUCUACACGAAAGCUUCCCAUUUCUCUCAAUUGUCUGUCCAGGCAAAACGGUGUCUGUAGGAUUGCUGAAGGUCUCCCACAAGCUCCCCGAGUUUUGGUGUUGAAGGACAAAGUUUCCGGUGUCAUUCAUGACCCCGUUCGCAACAGUCCCCAAGGUUAUUUCGGAUUUCCAUAUCUCUCCACCCUGAGGAUUGUUAAGAACUAGUCCACUGUUGGCAGUCAAGUUCAGAACUGAUCCCCUAGGUGCAACCAUGGGGUUGUUACCGUCGUAUGCAUACCAAACCACGGUUUUGUCUGGGAUAUUCGCAUACCAUAUCGAAAGCAAGAAAAGAUCAUUGUUUCCGAGGGGCGAAAAUCCAAACUCGAAAUCACCGGAUGGAGAAAGCCAUGAUGAGGAGUCGCCUAUAGUUGCAGUUAGAGAACUCCCAACUGCUACUCUUCCAUUAUUUUGGGAAAUCACAGAAAUUGGUAGCAAAAACAAAGAGAACAAAAGCAUCUCUACAGAAAGAGCCACUGCCAUUGCAAAAGCACCAAUUUUUCAACUUGGCUUAACUGAUUAGCUAUAUUUCUUAGUAAAGCAUUGGUCCUUGUUUAUAUCUUCAAGUAAAUGUGUGUGCAUGUGCCUGUCAUUUUCUAAGUUUUUGCCUGGAAUCAUUUUUUGAAGUCAAUGUUACCCAUCAGCCACGAUAUGACCUCAGACCUCGCUACAUCACACACAAUAAUAUCUCCGGGCCUACAGAAUAAUUUCUCCAAACCUACACAUAUCACAAGAAUUUCACUUUGAAAAAAAUAAUAUAAUGAACAGUUUUAUAUAUAAGACACCGAUACCGAUACUUUUUGUGAUAGAACUUAUUGUCUCUCUCAAUUCCUUGUAAUGUUGCAAGUUGGAGCAAUAUUGAUGUAAUUAGUAAUGGCCCGCUAACUUGCCUCUCUCAAAUCUCUUUUCAUCCUACUCUCGUCCCUCGUCCGUUUUAUGAUUCUACUUAAUUAAGCACUUAUAAGUGUUCCAAAUCAAACUUGUAACUUAAAUAAUUAAAAAUAUUUAUCACUACACUGGGGAUUCUAGGUUCCAAAAUAUAAUAUAUAAUAUAUAUGAAUGUUCCAAACCAAAAGGACAAGUAAAUACGAGCAUGACUCACGCUGCAUGUGUCGGCCAUUCAAGUCCACAAGUCAAAAUUCAACAAUGGGGCCCACAAAGAAAAUUUGAAAAAGUACAUGCAGAUUGAGGACGUAUACAAAGAAUCUGAAAACAAACCUCCAGGACCAAACAAAGACGACUAAGUCUCCAUUUCUGUAUUCACACAAACCAAAGUACUAACUGAAGUUUUUAAUGUAUGAUUACGUCAUUGGGGUAAAACACCCGAGGCCGAGUUGAGAUAAUCACAGGGUUGGGGAAUCGAGAUCCUCUCCGAAUGUCACAGUCUGGCACAAACGAACGUAGAGAUCCGAACCACUUAUUUUAAAUUCUACGGUCUUCAUUAGCCUAUCCUAUUGGCCCACAUCACACAAGGGGCCCAAAUCUUUCUCUCCCCUCUCUUGAACGGUUUGGAUAUCUCGGUCUGUCGAUUUUGGAUUGGGAGAUUCAAAGAGAAUUUGAUUUCGGGUUUGAGGUGUGGUUCGCCGACCAUUUGAAGCUCGUUGAGGCGUGGCCCAUCUCAUCCACGUCGGGAUAGCCAUUUCGUACCAAGUUGGAUCCCAGGUCAGGCCAGUCAUUUCAUUAGCCUAAGAUAGACCUGACAGACGAGGCGCUUGGAUAUUGCCUACCGCGACCAAAUGGACCCAUGGGCUCAUUAGAUGAUGAGUCUGGACCCUGGGGUGUGUAAAGCCCACCUCAGCUCGAUCCAUAUUCGGUCGAUACUUAAGGGAAGGUGGAUAUGGGGUAAAGGUAGAGUAAGCUCCAAGCCAUGUGGAGGUCAGUCGAGAUUGAACACACAUUCAUAGAAUCAUAGUAUGAAAUUCAAGUCCAAAUUUUAACACUACGAAACCGAAAAGCAUGCAACUCCGAAGAGCAUUGUUUCAGUCCAACAACCUAAACUUCCUUAAAAAACUAAGACAAAAACGACGACACUAGUAAACGGAAAAACAUGCAACUCAGAAAACCAUUGCUCUAGUCUAAAUGAGGUUCCUCAAUGCCUCAAGCUUUUCUAAACACCAUAGCCUGAACCUUUUCCUUUGCGCCUUCUUUGCUUCACCAGAAACGUUCUUAAUGAGCUUCCUUCAAAUUUGGGACGAGCAGGCAUUAGGCUGUGCACAAUGCUGUAAAUGCCCCUAGCCCUUGCCACACCCUAGGUGCGUACGCUUGCAUGUCCGACCUGAGUUAUCUCAUUACGCGCGCAGUUUGAUCUUCCCGUAUUGACAUCCCUGCUGUCUAUUCUCAUGCGAAUCCUUUUGCUGGUGACUUCAUCCGGGUCCAUUUUCUUGCUCCUCAGUGCAUGUUCAUCUGCUUUUCCCUAUUAAUAAAUAUAGGAAUCCCAUAACAAACAGCAUUUGACAAAACAGAACGUAAUAAUAACAACAAAACUUGACUUCAUCCUCAUUGCAUGUUCAUCUGCUUUUCCACUUCAAAGCAGCUGACGGCACGAUUCGUACUUGGACUCCAAGAUGUCUAGAUUAUGGAGAAACUAUCCCUUUGUCCAAAACACACAAAGAAGUGGAUUUUCCGUUUAUACCAAGUGUGUUGAAGCAUGUCCCACAUGGCCACAUCGGAAACUUGUUGAAGUUUAAAUCCUCUUAUAUAGAAAGUUCGACUACUAAUUGCCUUGAGGCCUUAAUUUUGUAUAAAACCAUACCUAUUGAAUUGCACACGUGCUUAAGUUAAGGUUAGUAUUAAUGGUAAUUAGUAGUGGGCCGCUGGUCGUCUUCAAAAAACUGGUACAAAGGGAAGAUUUAUAGAAGCAGUGUUGAGAUAAAGGCAAUUCAUCUGUUCUUUUUAGAAGGAUAUAAAUGAAGCAAGGUUUAUCUGCUCACCCGUAAUGCGGCUCAGCCCUUCAUCAAAAAGUGAAAUAUCAAAAUUACUUUUACAGCAAGAGCAAUACCAGAAGAUGUAAUCUAAAUUGUUUAUAUUUGGUUCCCUUGAAAUCCUUUUGACUGUUUCAACAUAGUAUAUGUUGGUAUUUAAAAGUUUAGAAACUUAAUACCAAUUAUGUGGGUGAUAGGUUUUCUAACUCUAUCACACCUCUAUCUCUUUUACUCUCUUUGAAAAUGGAUCGAUAGAAAGAAAAAACAGCAAGCUUCUUAAAGAAACAAGUACUUGAUAUAUUAAAAGAGUUUCAACUCUAUUGCUGAAAAUAUGGAAUGGAAUUACAAAGAGCCUUACGGAAAGGCAUUCUUAUACUUGCAAAAAACAAGAGAACCACACAAGUGGUUUUCAUAAACAAAUGCAAACAAAGACUUUCUAGACUUAGCUAGUGGAAAACUAUCCAUGCAAAAUAAAAUAAAGGGGUUCAAAGUCUUUACUUGCAGCAGUUUUAGACUAUUGAACACACACACACACACACUACUUUAUUCUAGUGGUUUACAACCACAUUUCGGCUAGCACAGAAGAGAAGCAUUAAUUUGGGUAAGUGCAGGAAGUAUGAGUCAAAAGAAACAGCUAGCAGCCCACUAACAUUGAAAUAAUGUUUUUAUUUGAACUUCCAACACUCCCCCUCAAAUCAAAACACCUUCAUUCCUAGCAUGUCAUGCAGCAGCCGGAAUGAUUCAAUUGGCAGUGGCUUUGUGAAGAUGUCAGCCACUUGUUCCUUGGUGUGACAAUAGAUAAGCUCAAUUAUCUUUUGCUUCACAUGAUCCCUCAGAAAAUGGAACCUGGUAUCGAUGUGCUUGCUCCUUCCAUGUUGAACAGGAUUCUUUGCAAGCUUGAUUGCAGACAUGUUAUCCACAUGAAUCACAGUAGAUUCCACUUGUGGAUGACAUAAAGAUUUCAACAGAUUUCUUAACCAAAUUGCCUCACACACAGUUAAGGCUGCAGCAACGUACUCGGCUUCACACGAUGACAGAGCAAUAAUUGAUUGCUUCUUUGAAGUCCAUGAGAAAGCUGUUGAUCCUAGAAAAAACACAUAGCCAGUUGUACUUUCCCUUUCAUCUUGGUCACCUCCCCAAUCACUAUCUGAAUAACCAAAUAAUUUUGCAUCUUCACCAAAAUUAUAAAACAGACCAUAGUUUAGAGUGCCUCUUAUGUACCUUAAAAUUCUCUUGGCAGCCAACCAAUGAGACUCAUUUGGUGUUUCCAUGUACCGACUCACGAGUCCAACACCAUAAACUAUAUCUGGUCUUGUGAUUGUAAGGUACCUCAAGCUUCCAACGAGGCUUUUGUACACGGUUGAGUUUACAAGCUCACCUUCUCCUUCCUUGGACAGUUUCAAUCCAGUUGCAACUGGAGUGUUGACAAUAUUGCACUUGUCCAUAUUGAAUUUCUCCAAUAUAUCUCUCAUGUACUUUUGUUGAGAGAUGUAGAUACCGUUACUUUCUUGCUUCACCUCUAUGCCAAGAAAGUAUGACAUUAAUCCAUUGUCAGUCAUCUCGAAUUCACUGAACAUGGAUUGCUUGAACUCACAGAACAUUGCUUCAUUGUUUCCUGUAAACAACAAGUCAUCUACAUAGAGACAAAUAAUUAAGAACUCCCAUUUUUCACCGUUCUUCAUGUAAACUGAAUGCUCGUAUGGACAUUUCUGAAAUCCAUUUUGGUGAAGGUAGUUAUCAAUCCUUGAGUUCCAAGCUCGUGGUGCUUGCUUGAGGCCAUACAAAGCCUUUUUCAAAUGAUACACCUUAUCUUCUUCUCCUUGUACUCGGAAGCCUUCCGGUUGUUUCACGUACACUUCUUCCUCAAGAACUCCAUUAAGGAAGGCUGACUUGACAUCUAGUUGAUAAAUUUUCCAUUUAUGAUGAGUGGCAAGAGAGAUUAGCAAUCUUACCGUGUCAAGUCUUGCAAUUGGAGCAUAGACUUCAUCAUAGUCCACUCCAUACUUCUGUUUGUAGCCCUUUGCUACAAGCCUUGACUUGUAUCAAUCCACACUCCCAUCUGCAGUGCGUUUGAUCUUGUACACCCACUUGACACCAAUAGCCUUCUGAUUUGGUGGGAGCUUUGUCAACUCCCAAGUGUCAUUCUUCUCGAUGGCAUGGAUUUCUUCCUCCAUGGUUAUUCUCCAACGAUCUUCUUCCACAGCUUCAUUGAAUGAGAGAGGCUCGUGGUCUACAUACAAGCAGAAAAAAUUGGUUUCUUCUUCUUCUUCUUGUCCAUAUAUCUCGGUGAGACUUCUUAGCCUCACUGGAGUUGAUGAGCUGCUUUCCUCACUGGAUGUAGGACCACUCCUUGCAAUUCUGUGCACUGGAGUUAUUGUGGUUAUUUGAGCAGGUUGUUGCUAGAUAGGUGGUACAACUUCUGGUUCUUCAAAAUCAGUGGAAACAAUCUUCUCUUUACUGACUUCUUUGUUGUUCCACUUCCAUGCAUCUUCCUCACUGAAGAUGACAUCUCCACUAACCACUAAUUUGCCAGUUAGUGGGUUGUAGAGCUUAUAUGCCUUUGACUCUUCACUAUAGCCCACAAACACACACUUUUCACCUCGAUUAUCAAGCUUCCUCCUCUUGGCUUCUGGAACCUGAGCAUAUGCAACACACCCAAAAACUCUUAGGUGUGCAACAUUCGGCUUGUAUCCACUCCAAGCCUCUUGUGGUGUCAUCCUCUUGACACUCUUUGUUGGACAUCGAUUCAACAAAUAAAUUGAACAAGCUACAGCUUUUGCCCACAAUUCUUUUGGCAAAUUCUUCUCCUUAAGCAUGGACCUUGCCAUGUCAAGGAUGGUUCGAUUCUUUCUUUCGGCUAUUCCAUUUUGCUGUGGGGUAUAGGCAGUAGUCAGUUGAUGCCUAAUUUCUUGCUCCUUGCAAUAUGCUUGGAAAGCAUUGGAGGUGUACUCUCCACCUCUAUUUGAUCUCACAGCCACAAGCUUGUGGUUGCUUUCAGCCUCUGUGAGUGCCUUGAACUCCUUGAAAACUUUUAGGGCAGCUGACUUCUCCUUGAGAAAAUAGACCCAAGUCUUCUUACUGAAAUCAUCAAUGAAGGUAAUAAAAUACCUAUUACCUCCAUAGGACAUAGGAUCUAACGGACCACAUAUAUCCGUAUGUACCAACUGCAGUGGUGCUUUUGCUCUCCAUGCAUCACCAACAGGGAAUGUGAGCCGUGUUUGCUUGCCAAGCACACAACCUUCACAUACUUGGCGUGUGGCUUCAAUCUGGGGUAGACCACGAACCAUUCCUCCACUUGACAGCAACUUUAGGCCAUUGAAAUGAAGAUGGCCAAACCGAAGAUGCCAUUUCCAUGACUUAUCUUCCAUUACACCGAUGUUGCAACUCCCAAUCCUUGUGUUCAACUUCAAUGGGAACAUUCGGUUCUUUGACAUUUGAACACGUGCAAUAAGUUUUCUCCUUGCAUUCCUAAGAGUGAGAAACAUAUCCUCCAUAUGUAUAAUAUACCCUUUCUGGAGCAGUUGACCAACGCUCAGAAUGUUGCUCUUCAUACCUGGUAUGUAGUAGGUAUCGAAGAUGUAUUCUUCUCUACCAUCCUUCUGGAUGAUUUUGAUCUUUCCUUUGCCUUCAACUGGCAACUUUGAGGAGUCACCAAGACUCACAGAUCCAUAAGGCCCAUCUUUGAGUUCGGCAAAAAACUCUUUCUUUCCACACAUAUGGUUGCUUGCACCAGAGUCCAAAUACCAAACAUCUUGUUGGUUACUGGAAUCAUGGUGUGCUAGUAAGACUGUAAAUUCCUCACCAGCAUUUCCACUUGAUUCUGCCAUGUUGACAUGCUCACCAUUUUUAUAUGAACAUUCACCUUUCCCAGACCCUGCGUAAAGCGGGAGCCUUGUGCACUGGGUACGACCUUUUUUUUUUUUUUUAUUCAUUGGCAUAAUGUCCAUAUUGCUUGCAACUGUGACACUGGAUAUGUGCCUUUCCUCGAGUAGAUCUGCAUUCUUGAGACUGAGCUCGAUUUUGUGCAUAGCCUCUACCUCUUCCUCGGGCUCGUCCUCGGCUACAGUUGGAUGAAUUCCCACGACGUGAGUUCCACUGCCCACGACCUCCAUUUGGUUUGUCAAUAUUCAACUUUGACUCCAAAGCUUGCUCUAGCGUUGUGGGGCUUGCAUUCUUCUGAAUGCGUUGCUCGUGAACUAUGAGGGAUCCUAGUAGCUCCUCUGCGCUCAUCGCCUCCAAAUCCUUGGAUUCCUCAAUGGCAGUCACCACAUGCUCAAACUUAGAUGUGAGUCAUGUGAGUGACUGGAGUAUCUUCUCCACAACUCGUACUUCAUCGAGUCUCUCGCUAUUUAUCCUCAUCUGAUUUACUAUCACAAUGAGCCUUGAGUGAUAGUCGGAGAUGCUCUCCCCUUCAUUCAUGUGAGUAGUUUCAAAAUCUGCUCGAAGUGACUGUAACCUCACUUUCUUGACUCGAUCUACUCCUUUGUAGAUUGUACUGAGUGUGUCCCAUACUUGCUUGCUCGUUGUUGCUUCUGCAACCUUCUCAAACGUUGAAUCUUCUAGACCCUGGUAUAGAAGAUACAACGCCUUCUGGUCCUUCUUUCGUAAGUCCUUGAGAGUGUUCCUUUGUUCUGCAGUAUAUGCGGCUUCUUGAUUGGCAGUGGGUACAACAUACCCAUUACUGACAACUUCCCAUAGCUCCUGUGAUCCAAACAAUGCUUUGAAUUGGAUGCACCAUCUUUCAUAAUUUUCUUUCUUCAAUGUGGGAACCUGGAGCUGCACUAAGUUGGACGCCAUAACUGCUGCACUUGCCAGAAUGGUAUUCUGGCUCUGAUACCAAUUGUUGGUAUUCAAAAGUUUACAAACUUAAUACCAAUUAUGUGGGUGAUAGGUUUUCUAACUCUAUCACACCUCUCUCUUUCUUUUACUCUCUUUGAAAAUGGAUUGAUAGAAAGAAAAAACAACAAGCUUCUUAAAGAAACAAGUACUUGAUAUAUUAAAAGAGUUUCAACUCUAUUGCUGAAAAUAUGGAAUGGAAUUACAAAGAGCCUUACGGAAAUGCAUUCUUAUACUUGCAAAAAACAAGAGAACCACACAAGUGGUUUUCAUAAACAAAUGCAAACAAAGACUUUCUAGACUUAGCUAGUGGAAAACUAUCCAUGUAAAAUAAAAUAAAGGGGUUCAAAGUCUUUACUUGCAGCAGUUUUAGACUAUUGAACACACACACACACUACUUUAUUCUAGUGGUUUACAACCACAUUUCGGCUAGCACAGAAGAGAAGCAUUAAUUUGGGUAAGUGCAGGAUGAGUCAAAAGAAACAGCUAGCAGCCCACUAACAUUGAAAUAAUGUUUUUAUUUGAACUUCCAACACUAUAUGCAGAGAGAACCAGAACCAAGUCCAGACUCACUCGUAAUAGGUCUCUCCUCAUCCACAACAAUAUCCCAGCUUUCCCUUGUCGUGGUUUUCCCAUAUUUGUGCACCUUACUGCAAAGAGAGAGCAAGUUAACUUGUCAAAGAAAAACCAGAACAAUAGAUGCCAAUGCAGUUCAGAAAGUUUAUUUCCCUUCAUACCCAUUUCCAAAGUGCUCUUCUCCCCAUGUCCUUGACCAACCUAGACAUGAGAGAACAAAAACAAAGUCACAUCAGAUUAAAUUAUUGAAAGAAAAAGGUUCACUUACAAAUCGACAUUAGAAUCAAGCAACCACGCUAUGAAAUACAAAUUUAAAAUGUAACAAUUUACUGUGUCUGAAAGGAAUCUGUGAAAUAAAAUAGUUAAACCCUAAACAGCACCACUGCAAAUAGCAUAAGAAAAUUAAAAUUAACCCUAAAGAAAUUGGGAGAGAAGAAUAUGAAAAGGGAAUACCUUUCGGCCCUUUGAGUUAUUGGAAAAAACCCAACAGAGCAAAAGAUAAACAAAAAUACAGGAGGAAAGAAAAUAAAUUUUCAACUUGUAAGAUUCAUACACGAACAGAUUGGCGGUCAAAAGCAUUUCGAAACUCAGAGCCAUCAAGCUUUUUGAUCUGCAUGGAAAUUAUUUAUGAAGUUUGAGAUUCUUAUAGAUGCUUUAGACACAUCGACAUAUUGAAAAAGCAAUAUUCAACAACCUAGUACCCAUGCUCCCUAGAAGGGUACAGAAAAUAUGAAUGUCUGGACUCUGGAGUGAGAAAGUAAAAGGACUUGCCGCAUACUUCAUAUCUUCCAAGUUUGUGUAGUCUACAAUCCCUGUUGUGCCUACAAAAAAGGCAUAGGACAAAAGCUAAAUCAAUCGAAAUUCUGAUGUCUCAUGAUCUAGGUCUUAGGAUUAAACUACUGAAAUAACACUACAUGAAAUAGCUGUGUAUAUCCCAAAAAAAGUAUGAAAUCUGGUUGAUAAUUGAAGACUUCGAAGGGAUUUACCUUUGGAUUCUUUGGCUUUCAGAUGGAGUUUGCUUAUGUGUGGGGGAGAGAGGUGGAGCGGCUAGGGCUUGAGUAUGGAAGAGAUGAAAAAUGCAGAGAGCACCUGUUUUCGCUGAAGCAACUCACACACUCUGGACAAAUCUGCAAAUGUCUAAAAGGGGGAAAAUAUAAAAAGAAACCUUAACAACUGAAUUCAAAGAAACAUUAUUACAUUGUAAAUAACAUUUCACAAAAAAAAAAAAAAAAAAAAAAAACUGAACUAAACUAAUUACACUCGGAUUGCAAUGCUAUCAUUUAAUAAUAGGAAUUCCCAUAACUUAGCAGAAGACCUGCAUCUGCAAAGGAUUCUUUAAAACCUAUUUUUUUUGAACAACCCCGCACCUACAACACAUCCAGGCAAGGUAAACCAAUAGCACCCUCAUUCUAAGCUCUUCUGUGCAUAUAUACCCCUUAUAAGUAAUCUUAAUCAAUCAGUUAUCAUGAAUAUAGUCAGUUAUCACGAAUAUACAACUUAUAUUAAUUUUCUACAAUAUCCAACACACAAAUAUAACAGAAGAGGAAACUUUUACUUAAGCAGCACAAAAUGAUAUCCUUUGCAUUUCAUUCCAAAAUCCAUCACUCUUAUGUCUUUGCCUGCACAGUUUUUGCUCCAACAUAGCCCGCCAUGAUGAUAGCACUAUCAAUAAUUAAGACAUAAAGAAAGGCUAUCCUAGCUAGGUAUUAUCAUUGGAGUAAACCAACAACACCAUAAGUAAAGUAGCAGACCAAAUUUUUUCUAGAAUUGAUGUCUUAACAUGUUUAAGUAGCGAAAAGAUUACAACACAUUGGAUGUGUUAACACAUCCAUAAGCUAAUGACUCCCUCUCCGGAUCACUACAUCAUUCUUAAUGUAUUCAACAAUGCAGCAGCAAUUAAAAGUCCUUGGAAAAUGCCAAGCUACUACAAUGACAUAACGAAAAACUAUAUCUCACCUUACCCCCUUGUUGGCAUAGACUGCAUAUCCGCCCUUGUUCGGGGUGAAUCAUAAUCCUGAACUCAAUUAUCAUCAUCGUUGAGAAUGUCAAACUUUAAAUCAACCAUGCAUGGAACAAAACUUAGAAAUUAAACAAUUAUCAAAGCUUAUGAAGAAUGCUAAACCCAACUAAUUCGAAACAUAAAGUAACCCAAAAGAGAGAAAACUUAUAAAUUUUACAUAAAUUAUAAUCCUUAACAGAAGGAUGGAACAAAGCAGGUUCAUUCUUGAGAAUAGAUGUAAUUUUGCACAUUGCAUAUAUGUAGAUUAAGGCUGGUGGUAACAUACCUUGUAAUUUGUACAAAUUAGGAUUUUCAUUCAAAGAACCAUAAUAUACACAAUUACAAAAACAGUGAUUCAAACUUGUUCUUCUCUUAAGGAAAUUACUCACAGUUGAAAUUCUGAAUGGACGAAGUUUUGGCAUCCCUUUCUGACUAUAUUUGAUUAACCUUUUUUUAAUCCAAUGAGUGCCUUCAUGAGAGAGAGAGAGAGAGAGAGAGGAAUAUUAGGUGAAAUGUAUUGCCAAAUCACACAGAGAUCAAAAUCUUGAAUAUAUAUGUUUAACCAUAUCAAAGUGAGUGUGUGAAAGGGUGUAGUCUGCAGAAAGGGCAACAUUUUCACUGCUAGAAAGUUGGAAACUAAACUUUUACACAGAUAUUGGAUUUUAUUAAUUCCCUCCGCGAAUUGAAAAGCAAAUUGUUCGAGUAAUGCAGGUAAAUUCGAUAUACAUAUGCGUUGAUCUAUGUAAGACAGUUAUAAGUUAUAACUGUAUCGUCUUAACACAAAAAUGAUCAUAAAUGUAAGUGUCUGUAUUAUGGAAGUAAGGGACUUACAGCAAUUGCUAUGAGCUAUAACAGCAGUCACUCCAAGUACCCUAUUAUGGAAGUAAGGGACUUAUAUCAAUUGCUAUGAGCUCUACCAGCAGUCUCUCAAAGUGGUGCAACGGCUAAAAUUAUAAAUAAAAAGUAAUUUAAACAAUUUAACUUAAUAAAAUAUUGUAAUUUAAACAAUGCCUAUAUAUUCAAACAUCCCAAAACAGGAAUGAACUUCCAAAAAACAUGCGCAUGAAAAUAAACGGCAUUACUCACCCAUUGAGUUGGACCAUCAAACUGGAGCGUAAGAAGGAUCAUCAUGUACCUAUGAAACCCAAAGGAAACUUUUAGCAACCCCAAAGCUUGUAUGCAAGCGUGAAUAAGUAUGCGUGUAUGAAUCUAUUCAUAGUGAAGAAGGCUACCUUAAGAAAUAUUUGCAUCUGCAGCUUCAUAUGGCCAUACAACAAAAAGCAUCGCAUAUGAUAACAAACCCCAGCUGCACCACAAAAGGAAUAUGAUCUUCCUCUCAACUUGUAUUUGCAGUUGUUACUGUAACAUCUGCAGACAGCAUACAUAAGCACUGAUUCGAAAAUUCUAAAGGAAAAAAAGUCCUUAUUCGAUAAUGCACCAAAUCCUAUCCGAAAACCAAGGGGGUGCCAUAUCCCUAGAUUAACAGAGCAUCUUUCUUUGUUCCAAAACAAAUUGCAAUUGGCUUUGGUAAAGUAGAAAGAUUACCAGAUACCGACUCUGUUCCAUUAUUCGACUGUCCUUUUAGUUCUGUCUCUCAACAUGGGAAAUACAAUAAGACAGUAAAAACAAAAGUUAGUGAUGCUAUUACAUAGUGAAAGAAAAUAAGACAUUCACAUAUUGAUAGCUAUUUACUGUCCUUUCUCAUCAUAAUCUUGGCCCAUAUAUAUAUAUAUAUAUAUUGAAUUUUGAAAGCAAUGAGAGAAAUAUACCUUUGGGGCGUCACUGCCAGAAGGGUGAGUGAGGGAUCUAAGAUGUUUGAGAGCAGAAAUUUUUAAGUAAUUUGUGCGAAAAAGUUGAAGAGCUUCGAACAGAGUGGAGUGGGUUGGCCUGGGCUAAAAUAAAGAGGAUGAACUCUAGAAAGUAGAAAAUGUUGUGUUCAACCAAACUCAAAAGUAAAGAAACCAUACAAUUAACAUAUAAAUAAGUUUUAUAUACCAAUGAUUACAUGUACGUUGUUUGAGAAGGUAAAUUAGCAACAUAUACAGUGAUCAAAAGAUUAACAGCAAUAAACUGCUCAUUAUUCAAAAUAUACAAGAAAGUUGUCAUUCACAUGAUCCAAAUGGUAGAGGACAAAACAGAAGGAAGCAAAUAUUAUAGCAGCAUAAGUUGAAUAAUUGCAGCAAGUAAACAAAUAGAAAGGCUAGCUAGAUUACACAAUCCAGUUCUAGGUCAGACUAACCAUGUUAGCCAUCCGCCCACCACCAUCACCGUCGGCUUCUUAUUAAAAAUGUAGAAUAGAAGACUCAAAAACUGGAAAUGAAAGUAGGUAACAUUGAGUUUUAAUAACCAAAAAGGGACACUGUUUAAGCAGCUCCACAACAGCAAUAAUACUUGGACGAUGAGCUGCAAAAACAGAAAAGAAAACACAAAUUAAACUAAAAAAAUAUAAAAUUUAACACUAAUCCAAGGAUUAAAUAUCAAAUAUAAAGUCAUUAGGAUUGGGACCUUUGCAUUGAGGAAUAUCUACUACAUUAUGAGUUCCCUCCUGAUAAAGCCCAAUCAGGGGGUUUUCCGAUGAGCCAAGAACGGCUAACUUUGCGUGACACCGCCAUCCCCACUAACACCAAACCAAGAUAAUAUCAAGAUCAAAACUAACCAAUACCAGAAAGAUUUUUUUAUUUAAAUUUUAAGAAAAGACCUAAACUUUACGAAAUUAAGGGGGAAAACAAAGUUAAGUAAAGCACCAAUUUGCAACUGUCAAAAGUGAAAUAUGAGACUGCAACUGCCUAGAAGAACUCCGUGGCCUCAUCGACGAUGACCGGAUGGUGGAGAUUGAACUGGUGCGUACACCUGGAGCACCUGAUUAUACACCGAACAUAGAACAAAAUUUAAAUCAAGUCGAACAAUAAUUGUGAGAAAAUAAACUAAAAGGGAUUUGAGCUGAGAGUUACGAUUCGAAGUGCGGCAAUGGAGGGUGCAGGUUAGCGGCGGCAGAGGAGGGGUUGAGCUUGGGCUCAGUGAGAGAGAAGGUAGUGCUAAAGGCACUAUUUGUCAGCCAAUCAUGUAAUAGGCACACCACUUUUCUAUAUAUGACAAAAAUUAGGAGUUCUCCAAACUAAAGCAUGAAAUUAGAUUCACCAGAGAAUUGGAAAUUGCACAUGAAAAAAAUAAUAUACAUCAUGCCAUUUGUGAUUUUGAAAGAAAAAAAGAAUACCUUCUUCAGGUCCGCUUUAGUAGGUGGAGGCUCUUGAUAGAAGAUUGGCAUUGGAGUCGUUUUACAAAUCAGUUUCUUCCUGAACAUCCUAAUGUCAGCUUCUAGAGUUUCCUGUAAAAGAACAGACAACAUUCAUAAUAAGAAAAUCUCUCUCUGCAAUCGUAGAAAUCCCUCGGGUUUCAGGAAGCAAAUGGAAAACGAAAUGCUUUUCUCCCGUAUCUCUCUCUCUCACCUCUGUCCCAUCUCUCUGUCUCCAAAUCGCAGAAAAGAAACCCUAAACAAAUCCCUGAAAUCCCUCGCCUAAAUCCUCCCACAUUUCUCUCGGACACCCCCCUCUUUCUCUCUGCAAACCCUAAACCAAAUCUCCUAAAUCCUAUCUUUGACACCCCACAUACAGCCAAGAUAUUAAAGCAAUCUCUAUAUAAUACUUUGGAACAAUGAAGAAAAAUGGUACUUACUUGUUCCUUGUCCAAAACCGUUGGUGCUGCCGCACAUUGUUAUCAAUUGUGGGUUGAUCAAAUCCUUCAUGGCUUAGACUGCAUGAAGAAUUAGAAACUAAAAGAUGAAUAUAUGCCGUAAAUCAUCAUAUAAAUGUAAGUGCAUUUAAAAAAAAAAAGGGAAUGACAAAAUUGAAUUCUAUUUCAUCAGUAUGUAACUGCAUGAAAAGUUACUUUGAAUGAAGACUCGAUCAAUUUCCCCAAAGUCAUUGUUAACUGAAAAUCAAUAUCAAACCCAUAAAUACCACAUUGAAUUUGACCAAGUUAAAGGAUAAAGGCACUCGCAUCAUCGUAUUACUCUUUGGGAAGAUCUUCUAAUAAUGGUUCUUCCUUUUUCUUGCUCUUCCUUAGAACUGCCAUAAAAACCCCAGAGAAGCAUACAAAUUCAGAAAAGAAAAGGUUCAAAACUGCCAUAAAAAAAAUCUAGAAAGCAUACAAAUUUAUCAGAAAGAAAAGUUCAAAUUACAAAUACCAAAUGAUGUGAGUAAGUAGUGAGAGGUUGUGUUAGGCACCUGAAACACGUUUUGGUUUCAAUUGAAAGGGCCAGAGACAACAUCCACAUUCUUUUUUCUUGGGUGAACUAACCAAAUCAUAUUAUAUACUAAAACGACAUAAAAAAUCAUUCACAAACUCACAACAAAAUAGAACAAAAAGAUUCACAAAAGAUUUGGGAGUUGAGACGCUAACAAAAACAUUUCUUUUCUAAACAAAUACACAACCGCUAAUCUGGGUUUGGUCAGUUUGACUAAAACGGUGCGCUAUUUUGCAUCUAAAUAUAGUAUAUCGCUUAAAUAAAAUUAAUAAAAAAUACACAUCCAAUGCUUUUAGUCUAAAGCUAGAAUUAGGAAUAACUGAGGAAGUUAAUGAAGGCAAAGCAGAGGGUAGGAAGCAGAACAUACCAAGAGACCAGUAGGCCAUCGGGGCCGGUCUGCCGAUGAACGCUGUGUACUGGUUGACAACGCCCAACGGAGUUGGCGCAGAAAAGAAGUAAAAGUCGAAACCACCCUCAAUGACCUUGUAGGUGAGAGAAGUCCCUCUGUAGAACACAUCCAUGCCAUUGCUGUUGAGCAGCAAAACGGAGUGCGCGUAAGCCUCGUUGCCCACAUUCCGGAGAUCCAUGUAAACUGGGUGGGACCCGUACAAAUCAGUGUUGAGAUUGAUCGCUGAGAAGUUAGUGGUGAAGAGGAUGUAUUUAUCGUUCGGGUAGAGCUUGAUCCCGUGCGGCUGAGAGUUCUCUUCGAGGCCGUACAAGGAGGAGUAUUUCGGCACUCGGGUGGAUAUCUUGAGGUCUAGUCCUUAAACACCAGUACUAGUCCAAUAAACCACUCCGCUUUUAUUGAUUUUCAAUUCAUGUUCAUUCGGGUCCCAAACAAGACUGAACGGCCCCAGAGCCGGGUUGUAGGUAUCUACAUAUGAUAUAAGUGCCCACGUGGCCAUCAUUGCGGUUGACACCUAACUUCAUACCCGGUAAAAAUGUGUAUCCAGGAUAAUCACUUCAGCCGAUCGAGGGUGAUUUGAGGUGUUUUCUAGCUGAAUUGGACUUCGACCCAAGUAUGAAAGUUGUUCCUCUUAUCGAGAUCUUCAUUCAUGUAAAAUUUGGGAAUUUUAGAAUUGUUGAAUUCUCCGGCGAGUCAGGGCUACCAGCCGCCACGUGUUUCGGCGCAUGGCCCUUUGGCCGCUGUCCCGUGGCGACUCGUGCGGUGAUGUAUGCAGGAAAACCUAAGGUUCCUCCUUAGGUUUUUCAAUGUACCAAACCCGAAUCCGCCGUCCUUUUUUCAAAAUUCUAACGUUUUCAUAGAGUUUUAUUAAACGACCUUUAAUUGUGUUUAGGUGCAUCGGUGGAGGUGACCUCAUUCUUGAUGGUUCGAGCGGCUUUCGGGCAAUGGAAAACUUGUGAGUGGACCCCUUCUAAACUUAUAUAUUGUUAUAAAAUAUUAGCCUAGCAUGCAUUCCAUAUUUCAUGAUUUGAAUAUGAUUUAUAAUAUGCUUUAUGGACUUUUAUAAUUAUGGUUUACGAAAUAGUUUGAUUUAUCGAAAUUACGUUUUAUUAGGUAUUGAAUUAUUGGAUUUGCAUAUAUGGAUUUCUAUGGUUUUCAAAUACGAUUUAUAUUACGGUUUUACGAACAUGAAUUAUUUUAUGGAUUUCAUGAAUACAAUUUAUCUUGGAUUUAUGAGAUGAGAAUUUGAGCUAGUGAGCUCCGGGUUUGAUAUAAGUUUUGAGAUAUGUUUUUGGUACUUAUCUAGUGGGUUAUCAUACGGCACAUCCGCACACCACGGGUAUAGAAUUGUAUGGCCAUAGGACACAGAUGAUGAGGAGGAGUAAGAUAUGAUAUAUUAUAUACCCCCAGUUCACUGUCGAAAGUAGUGUCAGAUAACUUCACUAGCCAUGGCUAGUGUCGGUAUGGAUGUUAUGCUAUUUCAUACAGCUUCACCUUCGGGUGAUAGACAGGUUAUUUAGCUUCACCUUCGGGGUGAUGGACAUGUACUACCUUCGGCCAACUAUGAUAGCCUUUGUUGAGUACUUCACUGACAAGAUUUACAAAUUUGCCUUCGGGCGACGGCAUUUUCAUUAUCAAGCAUUGGAUUUUACAUAUCUACCUUCUAAAUGGAUUUUCAUGGCAUGCUAGGGUUUUUCAUAAAGCCUAUAUGUAGUAUUAUAUAUGUUUUCAAAACAAGGGGUUAUUAUGUUCAUAAAUAAAAUGUUUUCCUAUUAUUAGUAUUAUUAAUAUAAACUUUGGUCCACUCACAUUUUCAGUUUUUGCGCCUCCACAGGAGUUAGGAUCGAGGCACAUGAUCCCGGCAUCAUGGCAUGUUGAUAUAGGUAUCCUUGAAUCUUCCCAGUGUAGAUAUCAUUCCCUUAUUCAUAUCUUUUUAUAGUGAUUCUUCCCUAUUAUUUCUAAUUAGUUGUAUGCUCUAAACACAUUCCUGCUUUGGUAUAAUCGUUAUAACUACUUAUCUUGUAAUUGUUUGCAUGUUUAAAAUGGUUUCGUCACCCUUGGGCGUGGGCUAGCACGUGCCUACCCUGGUAUGUUGGGAUAUCGGGGUUGGGGCAUGUCAAAGAUAGAGAGUGAAUUUCUAGCAGAUUCAAUGGUUGUCUACAUUUUAAAAAGAGCUUGCCGAAAAGAUUGAUUCAGAUGAAAUAACAAAGGAUUUCAAUUCCAUUAAGGAUUGAAGGGCACAACUUGAAUAGGUAUUUUUCUUUUUAUUUGUUAUGUUGUUAUGACAGGAUUGACGAUGUAUGUUUAUUUAUAUUGUAAGUUGCAACUUUAAAGGUUUUCUUUGUUAAAUCUAGUUGAAACUUGAUUCAUUUAGAGUUAAAUUUCUUACUUCAAAUUGUUGCUUUUAGGCUUAUUAUUGUGUAACUUUAUGCAAGCAACAAAAAAUUUUAACCAUUUGAUUUUGUACUAAUAAUUUUAGCUUAGCAUGCCACCAAAUAAUUCAUGGCUCCGCUAUAGAAAUCUUAGCAUGUGCAAUUUCAAAGUCUCGGUUGCCAAGUCUCCCCAGGCUGUUCAGCACCCAUUCUGAAUCUUGAUCGAGAUCUAGAGCAGUGCAAGUCAAGGAGUCUUCAUUCUCAUUUGAAACAAUGCUAAAAUUAUACCUCAGCUUGGACUCCUUGGGCAAAAUAUACCCAAAUGUAUUAGUACUACUUGUGGAUACACCACUAGUCCAAAAAAAUCACCUCUCCUUUCUUAAUCUUCAAUUGGUGAGGGUCCCAAUCAAGCGUGAAAGGCCCCGGCGCACGGUUGGCUUUAGUUUCCCAUGAUGAAAUCGACGAAACAUGGCCGUUUGUACGGUUGACACCCAAUUUCAUGCCCGGUAAAAAGGUGUCAACUGGUAAUCAAAGCUUUACGUUCACUUCUUCUUGUACAAAAUUUCCCGAAUCCAAAAGGAUAGCCACAACAGUAGCAAUACUGUACUUAUGUUGGUAGACCUAGUAGUUUGUGGAGCUGAGAAAAACGCAAUUGGAUUAGGAUCCCCCCCGCAUAAUUUUCAAGGUUUUAUUCCUGUCCAAGGCAAGAGUGCGUACAAAAUAGGGGCUUUACGGUUGCAAAUCCAAGCAAUGUUGCCAUCGGCCUUGUUGCUCUGGAUAGAUACGUAGCUGGUGCUUUUGGAACUGUCGUCGUGUACACAGGAACUGAAACUGAACUUCUCCGAUGCAGAGACCAAAGAACUUGAGGAGUUGAGAGUGUCUCCUGCUGGUUUCAGUGUGUCCCUUGCACUUGCAGCAUUGUGACAGGUCCACAGUCAGCAUGCAAAAAUGAUUAAGUUGAUUAUUGCCAUGAUUAAUUAAUGACCAUAACAUGAAGUUUAAUUUCUCCAUAUGAUGAGGAAGAAAGACAUGAAAUCCAUCACCAGAACAUGAUUAAGAAUUUAAUCAAGCAACGCGUCUUAGUUAAACCGUUACAAUCUUUGUACAAGGCAUUUAUAAAUUAAAAAAAAAGGGAAUAAAGUAAUAAUUACAAGUUUUACACAAGUGACCAUUUAUUACAAUGGUGGAAAGGUGUUAAGCUUUUGCAUGACGGUGUGAGUUCGAACCUCGUCGGUAGUUAAUCUAACUUAUAAUCUAAUAAAAUCUAUUUUUUGACCAAAAAAAAAUAAUUACAAGUUUUACUAAAAAUUUAGGGGUGUGAUAUCCACACACCCCUUUUUACUUCUCUCACACAUUUUUGAUUUCGACCGUCAAAUCGGAUGAGUUGAAGAAGAUCAACGGACAGAAAUUAACAAGGGAUGUGUGAGAAGUAAAAAGGGGUGUGUGGAUAGCACACCCCAAAAUUUACCGGAAGACUUGAUCACCCAUUUGUAUGCUGACAACGGUGACUAGAUUCACAACCUCUUUCCCACGUAAAUCACAUCAUCCAAUUUUAUUUUUCUUACAACAUAUCACGCAUCUGUCAUAUGCAAGACUUUUUUUUUUGUAUAACAUGAAAAAGAAGACUUUUUUGGAAUAUGGAGAGUGAAAUUGCAGCGGAAGCAUCCUAGAUUUUUGAUCGAAUAUUGAGUUUGGUUUGAUGACAGACUUCCUGGAUCAAACACACCCUAAAAAAUAUAUAUAAAAAACCAAUAAGGUCAUGUGAUACGACAUCAUUUCAAGAGGAAAGGUAAAAACAAUCUAGUUUCUAUACUAGGAAGAUUCACUCGAACAAAUUCUUGGAAACUAUGACUCAAACAAAAUUCUAGGAAUUCAGUAUUUUUAACAAAUGAUAAGCGUUUAAGAUAUAUUCUUUAUAAUAUUAGAGAAAUCGAACGGUUGAUGUAUAACUCGCAAAGUGGUUGUAGCUCAAGUAAUUUUACUCCCCAAUUUUACAUAAAACAUAAAAUAAAAACAAAUCCUAAUUUACAUGGUAAUUUUUUUUCAUAGCUAGGGACAACUUCGACUAUGGUAAUGCAAUUAAUAUACACUAGUUUUGGAUGGAGAAGUUUCAAGAUUGAGUAUGGGAUGGGGAGGGGCGAGAGACUUGGAUGGAGAGGUGAGGUUUUAUGAGUUAAACAGUGAUGCAAGGAUGUAUUACUUAAAACUUUAGAGACCGUAUGUUGGGCUAUAUAUAAUAUACGUUCCAUGGAUAAUUGUUUAACUCAUAAACGUUUUGAGUGUUUCUAACAUAUGCUUAUCAAAAGCCUUCUCGUUCCAUCAAACAAUACGAAAAUUUUCAAUUGAAUGAAAGACAUACUAUUUUAUAUAUCACAGUACUUCAUGGAUCAUCAUCAUCACAUAUCCUUAAUUCAAAGGUAAUAAAUGAGCAUCUAGUUUUAUUUUAAUUUUAUUUUAUAUAGGGACUACAGAAGCAAGCACCCUCUGUAAAUUAAACUCUAAAACUUCUCAAGUAUCUUGAAAGGUGCCAAAAGCCAUCAGCCAACUCCAGUUGAUGCAUAACCUCCUACAUUUACAAAAACAGCGUCGCCGUUAAUUUAUUGACUUCUUCCCAGGACACAUACCAAUUUGCGAAAGUGGUUUGACUGAUGCUAAUUAGUCGAGUAAAGUACAGUCUUUUCAAUUAAGCAGAUGCAAAACACUUAGUUGAGGCACUACAAAUAUGAUUUUUACCUUUAAUUAACGCGCUUCAAAAUCUGAACUGGACAUGUAGUUUGCUGAAGCAACAGUUUCAAGUUGCUGAUUCCCACUUAUACCAGCCUCCACCGUCCUCCUUCCAACAAAAAAUGCUGGCUUUGUUGGUGAUGCUAAUCGAAAGCUUUCAUUUGUCAACAUAGAUAUGACAUCUGACAUGGUAGGGCGAUCUGCUGCAUUUUCUUCUACGCAAAGCAGACCGACAUGGAUGCAUCUUAACAGUUGCUCUUUAAUAAACGAAUUUCCUAAUGUUGGAUCCGUUAAUUCUAGCCCUGCACCUUUUUUCCAUAACUCCCAUGCCUGAAGAACAAGGAUUGCAUUUCAUUCUAAAGAAGAAAAAUAUGAUUAUAAAUUUUAAGAGAGAGAUUUGUUUGUCAUACAUAUCCUACUAAAUUGAGUGCGCGAUCGUCAUUGUAAAAGCUGUUGUUUUUCCUUCCACUUAUGAUUUCAAGCAUCAAUACCCCGAAACUGUAGACAUCAGACUUUACAGAAAUAAUUCCCCCCACGGACUCUGGAGGCAUGUAACCACUGCACGAAAUGAAAAAGAAAAUUAGUCAGUAUACUUAUCUGGAAAAAUGCGUGUUUAGCAGUCAAAAGGGGAGGACCACGUCAAUGUGAUGCAGAAAUACUUACAGUGUCCCCACAACCUUUCUAGUGUUUGCUUCCAAUUCAUUUUGGGUGAAAAUCCUUGCCAUACCAAAAUCUGAAAUUUUUGGGUUCAUGUUUUCAUCAAGUAGUAUGUUACUAGCUUUUACAUCUCUAUGAAUUACUUUCUUUCUUGAGUAUUUGUGCAGAUAAAGCAACCCUUGAGCAAUUCCUUCGAGAAUGCUAAAACGCUUCUUCCAAUCUAGUAGUAGACCUCUGAUUGGAUCUGUCCAAUAUGUAGAGUUAAGUAGGACUAAUAUUAAUUAAUAGUAGUACUCUAUGAACUUUGACAGUAAAAUAAAAAUCAGAUAGUAAAUUUAACAAAUGAAAUCAAGUAUCUUGGUUCCUCACCAAAUAAAAAGUGGUCCAAACUUUUGUUCUGCAGAUACUCAUAUAUCAACAUCAUUUCUUCACCAUGAAUGCAAAAUCCGAAAAGGUGAACCAGGUUUGUAUGUUUGAGUUCAUAUAUAAGUAUCAGUUCAUUCUUGAAUUCUGAUGUUCCUUGCCCUGAACAUUUCGAAAGCCUCUUCACAGCUAUUUCUUGUCCCGUCGCCAAUUUCCCCUGAAUUGAUAAUCCAUAUCAUGUUUUUGCUGUCAUCUUUAGGCAAAUGAAGCUAAUUCCAUUUUUUUUCUUACAGCUUUUGAAUUAGAAGCAGAAAUAUUUUUUUUUCAAAAUGUUACCUUAUAAACCGGUCCAAACCCUCCUUGUCCUAGCUUGUUUUCUUCAGCGAAGUUUCUUGUGGCAGCCACGAUGGAUGAAUAGCUAAAAACGCUAAAAUCAUGAUGUCGCUUAGAUUUCAUGAAGAUAAGCAUUUCGUUCUCAAUCUCUGGCCAGUUCUCACCUAUACAGAUCAAUUAUAAGAAAUUAAAGUUUCAAUGGAGACAACAAUUGUCAAAGAUGUGAUUAAUAAUCCUGUCUUACUGGUGCACAUGAUUUAAAGAAAUAUACCAGCUGAUGCAAGGGCUGAUCUUCUUCGUCGGAGUAGAUAGUACGCGGUGCAAAGCACUAGAGCAGCAGCUAUAGAAAUGCCAAUCCAAACCCAUUUAUCUGCUGCAUCAUAAACAAUUAGCUAGCAACAUAUGCAAUAAGUGUAACACACACGCACAUGUACGCAUUAAUUGUCUUCAAUUUUUGGAUGAACUAGGUCUUGCAGGUUUCUUCCGGAAAACGAAGAAAAAUUCGAGACAGAGAGCAGAACUUAAGACAACAAUAACAAAGAUAGAGGUACCUAAUAAUACUGAUUCCACGCGUGUCACAGAUUUCCGGCUCAAAUCGGGUUUGCAGCCUCGGUAUAUAUCCUUCGGAUCAAGAAAAGAAAACCCUUUUGGGCAUUCGCAGGUUGGCCUUUUAUCUGGUUUGAGCAUACAGGUACUGUUGUAACCGCAAACACCAACGCCCAGUCGUAGGCAAAUAUCAUCCGGCAUAUACACCAGAGGACUAAUCCAACUUGCAUUUCCCGUGAAGUUUUUCGGGUGAGAAUAUAAAGCGAAAAUCCCAUCAAAAUCAAGAGUUGCCCUU
rnacentral:lncRNA from 1 species